GCCUAAUCAUCACCCUCCUAGAGGAACCUCCAUUUACAUACCUUCAAGGCAGAAAUAAAUGGCAGAAAAAGAUCUCUUUGCAGCCCCCGCUCAUAAAGGUUGUCUGGAGCACGGUUGGAAGUAGCAAUAAGAAUCUGCACUUGUCAAAAUGACGAAUACGCAGAUAAUAGUACAUCAUUUACUUUUAGAAUUAAAUGUAACUCAAAGUAAGAGAAUGGAACACACACAGAUCAUGAAGGUUCAUAAACUUACAGCUCCAGUGCUGAAUAGAUGUCUAAAAAGACGGUUCAACAAUGAUGCAUCAGCAACAUCAGUCACCUUUGGAAGUAUAUAACAGAAAGAAAGGAUCAGCGACUUUUAAGCAGCUGACUGUUUGAAUGACAAACCAUAAAUUCAUGGCAUACCAUAAAUUCAUCGAGGCAUAACAAAAUUGCUUCAUCAGAUAUCUCUGCUGCAACAACUUCAAGGGGAUCAGCCACACCCUUGUGCUUCUGCAGUUGCAAACUAAUAAAGAUUAUUAUCCUACCAACGCUAACUACCUUUUCCAUGUCAGAGCCAAUAUUCAAAACAUGAUGUAAACUGGCAGUUCACCGUGUGGAUGACAUGCUAAAACGUGUGUUAAUGGACACAUCGAAUCCUUGUGCUUGGAUAACUGCCCCUGUUUAGACAGAGAGAUGCUCACUAGAUACACGUUUGACAUAAAUUUUCUCUGUUACCUGCAAGCGACUGUGUACAUCCAACAUAAAGUCGUGGAAAUGGAUCCUCUUUUUCCUCCAACCGGAAGGCCUGAGUGAACAACAAUAGAAGUCAAACAUAAUUAUUUGAACAGUGCCUGCUUCAAAUGUGCUAAAUGUUUUCCAUUAACCGGUUGCUUAAAGUAUGAAAGAAUACGCUGAUUACACUAAAGCUUACAACUGUUCGAAAAACAAAUCCAUCAACAUAGUUUUUCCUGUGCCAACCCCUCCAUAUAGAUAAAGUCCUUUUACAGGUGAGUAAGUAUACUGAGGUUUGAGACGGGACCACAACCACCUACAUCUGAAAUUAGUAUUUAGGAGAGUAAUAUUUAGUCUACUGCACAACACAUAAAUUGCUAUAUCAAUUGUCAUGAUGCUUCAAACAUGGAGUCAACCAUAGAUUACCUCAAUUCUUUCUCAGAAGCAUCAUAGCGGUCCAAACGACAGGCUAUUUCCGACUCAAUUAGCUCAUCAUAUAGUCUCUGUAUUUCUUUUACGGUGCCUACCUGCAAAAUUACUGUAAGAAUAUAGUCUAUAAGGGUCAACCAAAAUAAGGGAUUAGCACAAAACAGGAGCACAUUUAUUAAACAAUGUGACUUGAUUGCUCACAUUUAGCCAAAAGAAUGUGUUUACAAAUUAUUUUAAUUUAUCCCCUGGCUUAUAGCCAGCUGAUACCAUCACCUUCUGAAAUUACGAGGUCGGCGGUUCAAGAGCUGCCUCAGUGGUCAGUGAAAGGCAUAGGUGUGUGAAUAUUCAAAUUUACGCAGGGAAUGAAGAAGACAGAAACAGUUAAAAAUAUAUAUAUUUAUAUUCUAUUCUUCUUGUAAGCUAUAAACUGUCAAUGAUGAAACUUCUAAUUUGAAACAGAAAUAUGAUAUCUUCUGGAAAUAUUUGCAUAUAUUAGAUGCAGCUUUUACACUGUACACAGAAUAAAUUUAGUACGAAUACUAAAGCUUAUGUCGAUAGAAUGCUAAAACUGGAAAAAUUAAGUGUUAAAUUAAAGUGAGUUCCCAGUGCAAUCUCAAUAAAAAGGCCCAUAUGUAUGAUCCAUAGACGAAGGGUCAACUAAUAAUUCAAGUUGUGCUUCACAUAUCAAGAAUAAGGUAAUCAUCGCACCUGGCAAAUGUCACCAUCCACAAGUUCACCUGUAGCAAUUCUACGCUUAUACUCCACAAGAGGCCCUCCAGAAUGUGAUCCUGUGAUAAAUUUAUAGGCUUAACAAACAAACACGAAAUCUUUAUACCUCUAACCAGUAUUCAACUAAUCAAAGGACACAAAAGGACUCGUAAUAGAAGGCACCUGCAGUUGAGAUGUUAGAAACUUCAGUACAUAACGCUCUUGUGAUUAUACAAGAGGGGUUUCGCUGCACAUGGCCAUCUCCUCUAUAAUACAAAGACUUUGGAUUUGUUGUUGUACUAACCAAAUAAUCGGGUAUAUUCUUUGAUCCAUUACUUGAUCCAUUACUAGAGUUAGUCCUUCCAUGCUGACAAGCUAAUCUAAAAUGCCGUACAGAACGAACAAACUUCCUCAUCCUUUAGUUUCAGCUUUAUAUAGAUGGAUGCAGAAGGAACUUUUAGGAUGAGUCCACGAUCAUGUCAACAAACUUCUGUUCCAUACACAGAGUAUCCGCUGCCGAUUAAACCAGAAUUUGAGGUUACAUUUAAAGUGAUCAUUUUGAAAAAUAAAAAAUAAAACGGCUGUAGCAGUAUUCCCAAGUAAUUGAAAGCAACGCUAGAUCAAUGAAUUAAAACUUCCCUGAAAAACAUAAACAACAAUUCCGUUGUAAUCAUGAAAUUUACAACUUUAUUCACUACUAAAAGAACACCUUUCAUUGUGACAAAAGAAAAAAAAAGAACACCUUUCAUACUUUCUCUCUCUCUCUCUCUCUCCCUCUCCCACUCUGCGUCUCUCUCUCCAUCCCUCCCUCUCCCUCUCCCUCUCUCCCUCUCUCUCCCUCCCUCCCUCCCUCCCUCUCUCUCUCUCUCUCUCACACACACACACAUACCAUUUAAACUACUUUCUCCAGAUACUAUACUAACGAGACACAAACUUGUUUGUCAAUAAACAUUUAGCCAAAAAAAAUACAAGAAAAUUGCUUAAAGAAAACACAGUUCACCUGGAUGAUGAUUGAAUAUCAGAUUCCCCAGAAGCGUUCAAAUCACCCGAAUAUAUACUCACUCUUUAUAUAUCAUAAAUAAAUUGAUAAUAGUAUCAUGUAUGUAUUGUGUCUGCGUACAGAGUGUUUCUUGAUUCAAUGCGUACGUCAAGAAAGAAUGUAUUUCAAUGCUGCGAUCGUAACUGCAACGGUUAUCUUCCUUCCCGGACUUGGUAGUAAUAUUUUUGUCUUUAAUCCAAUGGCGUAAGAGUCACGCUCCGAUCGUUAUAUAAGUACUCCACCGUCCUCUUUUAAUUAAUUCUUUUUAUUUUAAAUUUUAAAUAUAUAAUUUAAGAUUAUUAAUUUUAAUUUUGUUUUUUCUAUAUGUUUGAAAUUAAUAUUUUUAUAUUUUUAAAUAAAAAAUUGCCUAUAUAAAUAUUUGAACAGAUUCAUUAAACUAUUUAUUUGUUUAGUUUAGAACCAAUAUAAAAAAAUAUAUUCAAAAAUCAGAUAUCCUAUUGAAAUAAUGAUUUUAUUAAUUUCAUAACUUUAUGUCGAUUAUUUACAUUUUACAUGUCAAUGUCCAAUCGACAUCCAGACUCCAGUCAACACCACCUGUUUCGUCAACUGGAUUUUGAAUCUAACGACUUCCGCUGAAAAAACACUAAAAUUUGAUGGCGAAAUAUAAUUUUAUGAGUUCUGCAGAGACUAUGGUGUGGAUGAAUAACUUGAUACAAGGCCCGAAUAAAAGUAUCAACUAUGGUGGGCGAGUUGAACAACGCUGUACCACAGUCCACACAUCUAACAAUUCACAAAGUAAAAGAUAAAUUCUUGAAAGUCUCUUGCACUUGUCCGAGUUGCUAGUCAACUCAGCUUAUAGCAGGCGCUAACAUUUUUCUGCAUACUAUAUAGCUAACGUCUUCUUCCCACCCAAACACACUGCUCCUUUUUUCCUUUUAAGACUCCAUUUCAUUGCCGAUGUACAUCAACUGUCGUUUCACGAUUCCCGGUGUCCCUGACAGGAGUGUUGUGCACAUCUUUUAGUUCUUCAAAGAACAUUCGUUUACAGCUUGCCUAGUCCUGAGCCACUUGCAGAUUAAUACUUCAAUUUGCAUCCUCUUGGUUAUAGUGUCACAUUAUACUGAUAAAUCAGUUCUUCCGACAGAUCGUGAUGCCAUCGCCUAUUGGCACCUGGUAACAACACAUAGAUUGUUUUUAGAUAUAUAGACAGGUUAAGAAGAUGAUAAGUUCAAUAGAACAAUGACAGAACUUCAUGCACGUACCAUGCUAAUGCUUACACGUUCAUCCUCCAUUAUACCUUGAUUGAAAUUCCUAAUGCUGACUGUCUUGGCAUCAUUAACCUAUAUGAAUGAACUGAUAGAAUCACUUAACCAGUUGGGAAUUCAUAAUGCGUAUCUGCUUGAGUAACUUCAUUUACCAGUGGAUUGGCAACUUUGCCAUGCCAGAGCACAUUAUCAAUUACAAUAAUCCCACCAACCCUCACCUGCAAUAUUAGAUUAAGAGAAGGUUAACAAUCUUGACCACUUGAUGGAUGCAAAUGGAACCAUCUAAUCCCACAUACCCUUCAGAAAACUAAAUGGUAUGUUAGACAAAAAUAUAAUUGAUACUGUGAUUCUAACCAGUUGUAGCAGCAAUUCAAAGUAUUCUUGAUAAUUUCUUUUGUCAGCAUCAACAAAUGCAAAGUCAUAGCUGCAGUGAUAACGCAAGUAAUUUAUGAGAAUCGAUAGAUAUGGCACAAUUAAUAGUAUACUGAACAGUGAACAAAGUGAAAACCACAAAAAGUGACGAGCACGAGGAAAAUGUAGUAGUUCAAAUUAAGAAAAAACAUAGCGGUCAUUUCUUUCAGCUUUAGAACUGAUUCAAGAAAAGAUGUAUAUCAUAAAUAGACAUGUGGGUUUACUCUAUCAAGGAUACACACCUGUCUUCUGAUAAGGUUUAUCUUCUGAUACAAGGGGUAGGGCAAUAUUCAUGUAACUGAUAAAUCCUGGGAAGAUCCAGAUAAUAAUAUUUGGCCAAAGGUUUUAUCUUUACCAGAGCAGUUUUGAUUGAGGGUGUUGAUGCCAGUUAUCGUCAUGGACGAGAUAUCAUAAUAAAGGGUAUUCGUAAGAAACUUUAGUAGAUAUUCAUGACGGAAAUUGGUUAUAGAUCUGACAAAACUCUAGAAGUAUGAAUCACAAUCCUCAUUUUAUCAUACAAAUCCGUUGUAUUAUAGAAAGAUAUUUAUGCUUUGGUGUCCACACAUUAUAACCUAAUGGUCAUGUCUCAUCUCAGACCAUUUCAUACCUCAACUACUCUAAAAAUUAACUUAUGAAUUGGUGCAUACUUGAAGAUGCCAAAUUGGAUCGCUACUGCACAUUAAGUCAACAGUCUUGGAGGUGACUCAUAAUGGGAGUGAAAGCUUGCAGGGUGAUAAUUUAAUCAGUCUGUGGUAUAAAAGUUAUGAACUCAGCUCAAUUCUCUAAUGUAAACUCUUCCUUAAAUUAUUGUCCGAAUUUACCCCUUUCACUUAUAUUUUUUCUUUCAGUUGCUUGAGUUUAACAAUAUCUGCAUACCACAAGUCUAAUGAAGUAGAGAACAUGAAAAAGAACUAGGAAGAUGACUUUUAAGAAAGUCCAAAGAAAACUUAUUGAUGUUGUUUAUGUCCAUAUAUAGUCUUCAAAAUAUCUUUCACCGUGAGUUAAAUUUAUAAUUGCCAAAUAACACCCUCUUAUACGCUGUUUAGGUUUUGGCUACCCUGUAUGGUAGGUUUUAAUGAGUACAGUAGUAGGCUAAAGUCAAACAACAUUAAAACCUCAACUUUAAGAAAUACCUGCAACCUUCUCCAUUCUGAAUCAUUAAUUUCAAUGCAUCAGCUGCUAGCCCAUGUCUGACAUCAACCUAGUGCAAUUAAAUAUCUUAAGACAGAAUAUUACAGCACGAUGUAGGUAAUUGUCGGUCGAUACCAAAAUAAGCAUCCCCAUUAUAUAGAGUUGGGCAGCAGGGGUAUUGCAGUUGGCCUUGGAAUUUAGAAAUUGAUUCUUUCUUAUAUAUUAAUCCCUACCUAUAAUAUAGAAUUUCGUUUAUAUCUAACAGAGAGUAUAAGCACAUAGCAUAAAAUUGAAAAUAUACACUUUCAGAUUACAAACUAAAGAGAGGAGAUAGUUAUCACCUUAUGCAAGACACCAGCUUGCUCAUAAUACCUUUUCGCCACCUCAAGAGCCUUCCCAUCUCUUUCACAAGCAACUAAACGGCCGGACUCCGGUAGGACAAGAGCAACAGCCAGUGAGGAGUAUCCCUGGAAGCAACAAUUAACCAAAUUUGUUUUUAAAAUUUCAUCAAUAUAUUAAAUUUUAGAUUAUACUUGUCACAAAGUCAUAACAAUGUAAUUAACAUUUUGCAUGCCCCAAAAUACACAUUAAACUUUGCUAUGUCGUUCAUGAAGUUAUUAACUUGGUACGUUUAAAAAUUAAUAGGAUCCAUGCUUAUACAGUACCAUUAUAUGUCAGUUUUUACUGAUUCCAAUAUCUUUCAGGCAAGAAAAUCGUGAGGCAGUCUAGCAGGAUACUGAAGCCUUGGAGGCUCUUUCCAAGUAAUUAUGUACUAGAAAUUGAGGGGAUUUUUUGAGGUGACUCUUUUCUGUCAAUUUGAAGAAGGUGUUAUUAUUUAAACGGUAAGAAACUUCUUCUGAAUGAAGUUUAUAACAGCAUUGUUAAAUAACGAUGUCUUAUCAGAAGGCAAUGGCUAGAACUUAUCAACAUAUCUGCACAUGGCAUUAAAUUUUGAAGAAGUCCUCGAAAUUAAGUUGAUGAGAAUUUUUUUUGAACAAAGUACUGAUAUAUCUUGCUUACCGUAUAAACACCAACUUCUAUGCACUUUUCUGCCCCUAGAAUCUGGACUAGCAUUGCGAGUAGUUGUGCUUGAUCAGGAGAUACCUAUGGACAAAGCACCAGCACCAAUUAGGCUAAUAACAUAGAGAAGCUUCAGAAAUGAAUCCCACUAAAAAAAUUAUUAAUUAUUAUAUUCUUCUUCCAGACUUUUACUCAAUAUAGCUUAAAUAAUGUAAUUAUAUUCUUCUUCCAGACUUUUACUCAAUAUAGCUUAAAUAAUGUAAUUAUAUUCUUCUUCCAGACUUUUACUCAAUAUAGCUUAAAUAAUGUAAUUAUAUUCUUCUUCCAGACUUUUACUCAAUAUAGCUUAAAUAAUGUAAUUAGAGUGCAGUAAGCACUCUGUUACUCCUCAAUUUCUAAUACAUAAUUACUUGUUAAAAAACGUAUAAUCUUUUAUUGACUUGAAGCAUUAUCAGCUUACUUUAUUUAUAAGGCAUACAAUCAUUUAAUGCUCUUCACACAGAAUAUCCUACUCAUGCUAAUUCCGAAGGAUGGAGACGCCAUAACUUCCUUUGGAAAUAUCAAACAGAUUACAUUCAAAUUCUAAUUACUUGAACAUCAUUUCUUACAAUCUCUGUCAAACAACUUCAAACAGUAUAUGCCUACUUCUGCUAAUUCAGAGGGAGGGAGACGCCAUAACUUCCUUCGGAUAUAUCAAACAGAUUACAUCCAAUUUCUAAUUACUCAAUCACCAUUUCGCACAAUCUCUAACAGACAGUUCAAAUUACCGAAACAACACAAAUACAACUCUAAUUACACAUUUUCAACUUGCAAAAAGUCGAAUAAAAUCAAUUACCUGCAUCUGACUACCACGCAUCGUCGAAGUCUCCUCCCGUAAUUCCCGCAGAAUCUAACACACAAAAAACACAAUAAACAUCACGAAAAACACGCAUAUUCAUCCAAUUAAAAACACACACACAAAAACAAAAUUGUACUUGUGGUUCUCUGACAUUAUCGAGCAAGUAAUCGUAGAGGCGUGGAGUGAUGCUGAUGAUUUCUUUGCGCCCGUACUUGCCGUCGCCGGAGACAACGACGGCGUCGGAAGUGAGGGUUUCGGCGGCGGCGAUUGAGGAGCACGCGAUGUGUUUGAGGAAAACGACGGCGUUUGGCUUGGGCAAGGAGGUGGUGGUGAAUAAACGAUUGCGAAAUUGUGGGAAAGAAUUGACGCAACGGCACGCCAACGAGCUAGCCAUGUUGAAGGAUUUACAAGCCUCAGUGGCUAUUGUUUCAUUCUGAUGGUUCGUUGAGACAAAACGGUCAUGUGACUGUAACAUAGUUUCUCACUGCGGUAAAAAAAUCCUCACUCCCAAUACACACUCCAGUCGAAAAAAGUUGUCCAAUUUUAAUUUGGGUCGACAAAUAUUGACUUAUACUCUAUACAAUAAAAUUAAAAUAUUAUAUAAACAGAAUUAUAUGUAUAUUAUUUAUUUCAAAAGUAUAAUUUUCAGAUUUCUAAAAUUGCAUAAAAUAAUUUAAAACUUCAGUCAAACAAGAUCAAUUUGAUAUGUCGAAUUUUAAAGUCGACGAAUAAUAUGAAUAAAAGGAAGGAUUUUUUGGUAAAUAAAUGAUUUUAUUAAAAUAAAACGGUUUGUGAAAUAAUACUCGAAUGAUCAAUUAUAACUUGAUUUUAAACAAAUAGACGUUUCGUUUUCAGACUAUUUAAUACAUAGAAUAUUAUAAUGAUAUUUCGAGUAAUCAACUUACAUUAGUAAUGAAAUUAGUAACUACGUAAUUGAUUUUCACAUAAGCAUCAUUCGUAGUCCAAAAAUAAUAACUAUUAAUUUUAUUGCUUAGAAUCGUACAAGUCAAAAUUUUAUCAUAAUUUUGACAGGAAUAUCAAGUUGGAUGCGGAUAGCAAAAAAUAACAAUCUGAUAUAUAUUUAUAUAAAAUAACUCGAAUCAUGAAAAUUUUUUAACUAAAAAGUAAAUUAGCAUAAAAAAAAAGUAUAUAUUCAAGUCGUUUGAUAUUUUGUACGUAAUUUAUAAAUUUUAUUAAAAAAAUUAAAAUUAAUAUUUUUAAAAUUUAUUUAAGAAAGGAUUUUAAUUAAAAUAUCGAACGAUUACGAAGAUAUACCUUGUCCCAGCUGAGAUGCUUCGAGGCAAGUUCUGACUCUUGACUGCUGAGCAACUAAUCCUGACGUUAAAACAAAACCCGUGAUGGCCCAUCUUUCGAGAAUCCAACGUGGCAUCACCACAGCCACAACAUAUAAAAAUGGAAUUUCCCCAUUUGGGAUAGAAUCAAAUUAGUGGCCACAAACAUCUCACAUGCUAUCCACCCACACCUCUGAACANCACUAAAAUUUGAUGGCGAAAUAUAAUUUUAUGAGUUCUGCAGAGACUAUGGUGUGGAUGAAUAACUUGAUACAAGGCCCGAAUAAAAGUAUCAACUAUGGUGGGCGAGUUGAACAACGCUGUACCACAGUCCACACAUCUAACAAUUCACAAAGUAAAAGAUAAAUUCUUGAAAGUCUCUUGCACUUGUCCGAGUUGCUAGUCAACUCAGCUUAUAGCAGGCGCUAACAUUUUUCUGCAUACUAUAUAGCUAACGUCUUCUUCCCACCCAAACACACUGCUCCUUUUUUCCUUUUAAGACUCCAUUUCAUUGCCGAUGUACAUCAACUGUCGUUUCACGAUUCCCGGUGUCCCUGACAGGAGUGUUGUGCACAUCUUUUAGUUCUUCAAAGAACAUUCGUUUACAGCUUGCCUAGUCCUGAGCCACUUGCAGAUUAAUACUUCAAUUUGCAUCCUCUUGGUUAUAGUGUCACAUUAUACUGAUAAAUCAGUUCUUCCGACAGAUCGUGAUGCCAUCGCCUAUUGGCACCUGGUAACAACACAUAGAUUGUUUUUAGAUAUAUAGACAGGUUAAGAAGAUGAUAAGUUCAAUAGAACAAUGACAGAACUUCAUGCACGUACCAUGCUAAUGCUUACACGUUCAUCCUCCAUUAUACCUUGAUUGAAAUUCCUAAUGCUGACUGUCUUGGCAUCAUUAACCUAUAUGAAUGAACUGAUAGAAUCACUUAACCAGUUGGGAAUUCAUAAUGCGUAUCUGCUUGAGUAACUUCAUUUACCAGUGGAUUGGCAACUUUGCCAUGCCAGAGCACAUUAUCAAUUACAAUAAUCCCACCAACCCUCACCUGCAAUAUUAGAUUAAGAGAAGGUUAACAAUCUUGACCACUUGAUGGAUGCAAAUGGAACCAUCUAAUCCCACAUACCCUUCAGAAAACUAAAUGGUAUGUUAGACAAAAAUAUAAUUGAUACUGUGAUUCUAACCAGUUGUAGCAGCAAUUCAAAGUAUUCUUGAUAAUUUCUUUUGUCAGCAUCAACAAAUGCAAAGUCAUAGCUGCAGUGAUAACGCAAGUAAUUUAUGAGAAUCGAUAGAUAUGGCACAAUUAAUAGUAUACUGAACAGUGAACAAAGUGAAAACCACAAAAAGUGACGAGCACGAGGAAAAUGUAGUAGUUCAAAUUAAGAAAAAACAUAGCGGUCAUUUCUUUCAGCUUUAGAACUGAUUCAAGAAAAGAUGUAUAUCAUAAAUAGACAUGUGGGUUUACUCUAUCAAGGAUACACACCUGUCUUCUGAUAAGGUUUAUCUUCUGAUACAAGGGGUAGGGCAAUAUUCAUGUAACUGAUAAAUCCUGGGAAGAUCCAGAUAAUAAUAUUUGGCCAAAGGUUUUAUCUUUACCAGAGCAGUUUUGAUUGAGGGUGUUGAUGCCAGUUAUCGUCAUGGACGAGAUAUCAUAAUAAAGGGUAUUCGUAAGAAACUUUAGUAGAUAUUCAUGACGGAAAUUGGUUAUAGAUCUGACAAAACUCUAGAAGUAUGAAUCACAAUCCUCAUUUUAUCAUACAAAUCCGUUGUAUUAUAGAAAGAUAUUUAUGCUUUGGUGUCCACACAUUAUAACCUAAUGGUCAUGUCUCAUCUCAGACCAUUUCAUACCUCAACUACUCUAAAAAUUAACUUAUGAAUUGGUGCAUACUUGAAGAUGCCAAAUUGGAUCGCUACUGCACAUUAAGUCAACAGUCUUGGAGGUGACUCAUAAUGGGAGUGAAAGCUUGCAGGGUGAUAAUUUAAUCAGUCUGUGGUAUAAAAGUUAUGAACUCAGCUCAAUUCUCUAAUGUAAACUCUUCCUUAAAUUAUUGUCCGAAUUUACCCCUUUCACUUAUAUUUUUUCUUUCAGUUGCUUGAGUUUAACAAUAUCUGCAUACCACAAGUCUAAUGAAGUAGAGAACAUGAAAAAGAACUAGGAAGAUGACUUUUAAGAAAGUCCAAAGAAAACUUAUUGAUGUUGUUUAUGUCCAUAUAUAGUCUUCAAAAUAUCUUUCACCGUGAGUUAAAUUUAUAAUUGCCAAAUAACACCCUCUUAUACGCUGUUUAGGUUUUGGCUACCCUGUAUGGUAGGUUUUAAUGAGUACAGUAGUAGGCUAAAGUCAAACAACAUUAAAACCUCAACUUUAAGAAAUACCUGCAACCUUCUCCAUUCUGAAUCAUUAAUUUCAAUGCAUCAGCUGCUAGCCCAUGUCUGACAUCAACCUAGUGCAAUUAAAUAUCUUAAGACAGAAUAUUACAGCACGAUGUAGGUAAUUGUCGGUCGAUACCAAAAUAAGCAUCCCCAUUAUAUAGAGUUGGGCAGCAGGGGUAUUGCAGUUGGCCUUGGAAUUUAGAAAUUGAUUCUUUCUUAUAUAUUAAUCCCUACCUAUAAUAUAGAAUUUCGUUUAUAUCUAACAGAGAGUAUAAGCACAUAGCAUAAAAUUGAAAAUAUACACUUUCAGAUUACAAACUAAAGAGAGGAGAUAGUUAUCACCUUAUGCAAGACACCAGCUUGCUCAUAAUACCUUUUCGCCACCUCAAGAGCCUUCCCAUCUCUUUCACAAGCAACUAAACGGCCGGACUCCGGUAGGACAAGAGCAACAGCCAGUGAGGAGUAUCCCUGGAAGCAACAAUUAACCAAAUUUGUUUUUAAAAUUUCAUCAAUAUAUUAAAUUUUAGAUUAUACUUGUCACAAAGUCAUAACAAUGUAAUUAACAUUUUGCAUGCCCCAAAAUACACAUUAAACUUUGCUAUGUCGUUCAUGAAGUUAUUAACUUGGUACGUUUAAAAAUUAAUAGGAUCCAUGCUUAUACAGUACCAUUAUAUGUCAGUUUUUACUGAUUCCAAUAUCUUUCAGGCAAGAAAAUCGUGAGGCAGUCUAGCAGGAUACUGAAGCCUUGGAGGCUCUUUCCAAGUAAUUAUGUACUAGAAAUUGAGGGGAUUUUUUGAGGUGACUCUUUUCUGUCAAUUUGAAGAAGGUGUUAUUAUUUAAACGGUAAGAAACUUCUUCUGAAUGAAGUUUAUAACAGCAUUGUUAAAUAACGAUGUCUUAUCAGAAGGCAAUGGCUAGAACUUAUCAACAUAUCUGCACAUGGCAUUAAAUUUUGAAGAAGUCCUCGAAAUUAAGUUGAUGAGAAUUUUUUUUGAACAAAGUACUGAUAUAUCUUGCUUACCGUAUAAACACCAACUUCUAUGCACUUUUCUGCCCCUAGAAUCUGGACUAGCAUUGCGAGUAGUUGUGCUUGAUCAGGAGAUACCUAUGGACAAAGCACCAGCACCAAUUAGGCUAAUAACAUAGAGAAGCUUCAGAAAUGAAUCCCACUAAAAAAAUUAUUAAUUAUUAUAUUCUUCUUCCAGACUUUUACUCAAUAUAGCUUAAAUAAUGUAAUUAUAUUCUUCUUCCAGACUUUUACUCAAUAUAGCUUAAAUAAUGUAAUUAGAGUGCAGUAAGCACUCUGUUACUCCUCAAUUUCUAAUACAUAAUUACUUGUUAAAAAACGUAUAAUCUUUUAUUGACUUGAAGCAUUAUCAGCUUACUUUAUUUAUAAGGCAUACAAUCAUUUAAUGCUCUUCACACAGAAUAUCCUACUCAUGCUAAUUCCGAAGGAUGGAGACGCCAUAACUUCCUUUGGAAAUAUCAAACAGAUUACAUUCAAAUUCUAAUUACUUGAACAUCAUUUCUUACAAUCUCUGUCAAACAACUUCAAACAGUAUAUGCCUACUUCUGCUAAUUCAGAGGGAGGGAGACGCCAUAACUUCCUUCGGAUAUAUCAAACAGAUUACAUCCAAUUUCUAAUUACUCAAUCACCAUUUCGCACAAUCUCUAACAGACAGUUCAAAUUACCGAAACAACACAAAUACAACUCUAAUUACACAUUUUCAACUUGCAAAAAGUCGAAUAAAAUCAAUUACCUGCAUCUGACUACCACGCAUCGUCGAAGUCUCCUCCCGUAAUUCCCGCAGAAUCUAACACACAAAAAACACAAUAAACAUCACGAAAAACACGCAUAUUCAUCCAAUUAAAAACACACACACAAAAACAAAAUUGUACUUGUGGUUCUCUGACAUUAUCGAGCAAGUAAUCGUAGAGGCGUGGAGUGAUGCUGAUGAUUUCUUUGCGCCCGUACUUGCCGUCGCCGGAGACAACGACGGCGUCGGAAGUGAGGGUUUCGGCGGCGGCGAUUGAGGAGCACGCGAUGUGUUUGAGGAAAACGACGGCGUUUGGCUUGGGCAAGGAGGUGGUGGUGAAUAAACGAUUGCGAAAUUGUGGGAAAGAAUUGACGCAACGGCACGCCAACGAGCUAGCCAUGUUGAAGGAUUUACAAGCCUCAGUGGCUAUUGUUUCAUUCUGAUGGUUCGUUGAGACAAAACGGUCAUGUGACUGUAACAUAGUUUCUCACUGCGGUAAAAAAAUCCUCACUCCCAAUACACACUCCAGUCGAAAAAAGUUGUCCAAUUUUAAUUUGGGUCGACAAAUAUUGACUUAUACUCUAUACAAUAAAAUUAAAAUAUUAUAUAAACAGAAUUAUAUGUAUAUUAUUUAUUUCAAAAGUAUAAUUUUCAGAUUUCUAAAAUUGCAUAAAAUAAUUUAAAACUUCAGUCAAACAAGAUCAAUUUGAUAUGUCGAAUUUUAAAGUCGACGAAUAAUAUGAAUAAAAGGAAGGAUUUUUUGGUAAAUAAAUGAUUUUAUUAAAAUAAAACGGUUUGUGAAAUAAUACUCGAAUGAUCAAUUAUAACUUGAUUUUAAACAAAUAGACGUUUCGUUUUCAGACUAUUUAAUACAUAGAAUAUUAUAAUGAUAUUUCGAGUAAUCAACUUACAUUAGUAAUGAAAUUAGUAACUACGUAAUUGAUUUUCACAUAAGCAUCAUUCGUAGUCCAAAAAUAAUAACUAUUAAUUUUAUUGCUUAGAAUCGUACAAGUCAAAAUUUUAUCAUAAUUUUGACAGGAAUAUCAAGUUGGAUGCGGAUAGCAAAAAAUAACAAUCUGAUAUAUAUUUAUAUAAAAUAACUCGAAUCAUGAAAAUUUUUUAACUAAAAAGUAAAUUAGCAUAAAAAAAAAGUAUAUAUUCAAGUCGUUUGAUAUUUUGUACGUAAUUUAUAAAUUUUAUUAAAAAAAUUAAAAUUAAUAUUUUUAAAAUUUAUUUAAGAAAGGAUUUUAAUUAAAAUAUCGAACGAUUACGAAGAUAUACCUUGUCCCAGCUGAGAUGCUUCGAGGCAAGUUCUGACUCUUGACUGCUGAGCAACUAAUCCUGACGUUAAAACAAAACCCGUGAUGGCCCAUCUUUCGAGAAUCCAACGUGGCAUCACCACAGCCACAACAUAUAAAAAUGGAAUUUCCCCAUUUGGGAUAGAAUCAAAUUAGUGGCCACAAACAUCUCACAUGCUAUCCACCCACACCUCUGAACACGCUUUUCGUACCAGCAAUUCUCAUCCACUCGUGUCCCUCACGCGCUCCCAUCCCACGUAACAAACACCACUAAUCUUCACGAACCUUCUUCCCCUACCAACUGACACGUGUCAAAAAUGACACGUGUACGCACCAGAACCCUAGCUGGGAAUGACCUAUUGCUUUUCAUUAUUCUAUAAGUAAUCGCAUUCUCUUCCUCACUUUUAACCUAAACAAUAGCCACUUUUCUCUGUUCAAUAUACACACAAAAAUCUGUAUCUAUAAUUUCAAGAAAUCCUUGUUUGUUUCUCCACACCAUUGAAUCUGAUUGUAAGUGUUUAAACAUUUGAGAUCUGUUAUAUAUAUAUAAUUCGCUCAAGAUCUCACCGUGUUUUUUCUGUUGUAUGAUAAUUUUGUUUUGAUUUUGCAGAAAUUAUAGCGUUGAUGUACUGAUGGAGACGAAAGCAGCCAUUAGUGUCCAAUACGAAGCUCCUCUUGGUUACUGCAUCGAAGAUAUUCGUCCUAACGGUGGCAUCCAGAAAUUCAGAUCCGCUGCUUACUCCGACGUAAGUCCUCAUAUUUGUAAUUAAAUCUCGAUGAAUGAAAUUCAUCGGGAUCGGAGAUUUUUUUUAUUUAUCGAGAUUGAAAUUGAUCGUUUGAUUGUUGUAUUUGUUAUGAUGAUUGAUGUUCUGAUUUUGUAUUUUGAUUUUGUGUAUGCAGUGCGCGAGGAAGCCAUCCUGAUUAGUUUUUAGGGUUAAUCGUUUCUUAAAUCUCGCAAAUCGAAAAAUCCCCAAUUUUUUUGAUCUCGUUCUUAAAUUUAUUUUUUCAAAACUUUUUACCGCACCCAAAAAUGACUGUUUCACCGAUUGGUUUCGAGGGCUACGAGAAGCGCCUAGAAAUUACUUUUGCCGAGUCAUCUGUUUUUACCGACCCGACCGGUUCGGGUCUCCGAGUCUUGACUCGUUCUCAAAUCGACUCGAUCCUCGAGCUAGCUGCUUGCACUAUUGUGUCUCAGCUCUCCAACUCGGAGUUUGACUCGUACGUGUUAUCCGAGUCGAGUCUGUUUAUUUUCCCCUACAAGAUCGUCAUCAAGACAUGUGGAACCACUAAACUGCUCUUAUCUAUCCCACAAAUUCUCAAACUCGCCGAGUCCAUCUCACUCCGAGUCAACUCGGUAAAGUACUCGAGGGGCACAUUCAUUUUCCAAAAUACCCAGCCUGCCCCUCACCGCAGCUUCUCCGAAGAAGUCGGAUUCCUGAACCAAUACUUCAAAUCCGGAGCGGCAUUCAUCCUCGGAGACCCGAGUUCUCCGACCCGCUUCUGGCACGUCUACGUGGCGCACCCGGGCCCACAGACCCCACCGGAAAACGAAAUCACCGUGGAAAUGUGUAUGACAGGCUUAGCCCGCGAGAAAGCCGCGGUGUUUUACAACACCCCUGAGACCCGCUCCAAAAUGACGAAAAUGUCGGGGAUCUCGAACAUUCUCCCCAGCCACACCAUAUGUGAUUUCGAAUUCGAGCCGUGCGGCUACUCAAUGAACGGAAUUGACAAAUCAGAAUACUCCACAAUCCAUGUAACCCCCGAGGACGGGUUCAGCUACGCCAGCUAUGAGGCGAUGGGGUUCGAUCCCUCGACAUCCCGUUUCGAGGACCUGGUGAAAAGAGUGCUCGAGUGUUUCAGGCCCGAUGAGUUCAGCAUUGCAAUAACUAGCAAUGGAAAUGAUGAUGACUGGUGGAGUAGUGAGAUUGGGGGAUAUGAGUGUAACAUCGGGGUUAAACAGGAGUUGCCUGGUGGAGGCUGCAUUGUGUAUUUGUGCUUCAGUGCUGGUGAGAAGAAGCGGAGGGGUGUGUCGCCGAAAUCGGUUUUGAAAUGCAGGGAGAGAUUUGCUGAGGAGAUUGAGGAGGCUACUGAGGCUGGAGACAAAUUGUUUCAUUAGUUCUGAGUUGUUUGUGUUUGAAUCUGAAUGUUAAUUGUUACUGCGUUGUUAUGUCAUGAAUAAAAUCUUGCAUAAUUUCAUGGAAUUUCGUUGUCAUUUUGUGAGUUUUGUUAAUUUGGAUUUUGGAAAUUCCAGUAACUUACUUGAUUCGAACAGACAGGCCAAUUAAAAAUUAAUUAUAAAUUAAAAAUAAAUCUUAAAUUGGUUAAGGAAUAUAAGAAAAAAAAAAUUUCCUUUGACAAAAAGAAAGCUUCUGCUUUCACUCAAAUAGUAAUUGGGAUGUCAGUUUAGUUUAUUUGUAGUAUUAGAAAUAAAUAUAUAAUUAAUAAUGAUUUUGUAUAUAAUUUUGAUUUUGUGUAAAGAUAAAAUAUAGAUGUAGAAUUUUUAAAAUUUAAUUCUAAAAUCUCAAAUUUUCAUAAAUUAUGAUGAAAUUUUAUAAAAUAUAUUAUCAAACAUUAUCCACCUUUUAUGAAAUUAAAAAAAAUUCAUUUGUCACAAUAUAUCUUAAUAGAGUAAAUAAUAUUAAUUUUUUUUGCCGGGAUUAAAUAAUAAAAUAAUAUUAAUUGAACUCUAUCAGAUUUUUAAAUAUAAUAUAGAAUAUUGAUUGAAUAUUAACAGAUUUCAUAACAUAAUUUAAAAUUAAUUAAAUAACUAAAAUUGUGAUAUCUUUAAAAAAAACUAAAAUUGUGAUAAUUUUUUAAAAUAAUAUUUCCAUUUUUUAUGAAUGGUUGUUUCCAAAAAGAUUCUAAUUAAAUACAACCAUCGAACCCCUGUCGAAGACAGGAGCAACUUCACUCAUGAACUGCUGAAACUGUCUAAAAAGGAACAUUUUUACCAAGUUUUACAGUUCAGGAGCACUGCCCGUCAGGCACAACCAUAUCACAGAACUCAGUAUUCUGAGAAUUGGGAGACUUGUUAUGGUCUCUUGCAGAAUUCUUUGUAAUUGUCUCUGCUCUGUAUCAAAAUGAUAACAACUCUGAUACGCAUUAAGUAAUUAAGUCUAGUAAAAAUUAACGGGACCAAUAUAACUCUCCUCUCCUCAAAAAUGUCAGAAAUAAUAGAAUUCUUUCAUAAUUAAACACACACAUACAUUAGUAACAAAAAACCACACACACAUUCCUGACAAAAAAACACACUCACACAUUCAUUUUAUUUAACAUUCUAAUCCUCGACUUGUGGUAAGCGGGACGGGCUUGUAUCAAAGAUCAUAGGAAAAUAGAUACGACAUAAACCAUGAUUAACAAUACAAUCUAUAUGUCAAACAGUAAAUAGGCUGAAGGAUAGUAGCCUGUUCAUAAACAAUGCCAUAUUGUCACAAAUGUGGGAUUAUCCUGUUUAUUACAUCCACAAUAAACAAUAACAGUGGAAAAAACUCCAUACUACAAAUUAGUAAAGUUUCAAAAUUAAGUCACAGUCAUCACUCCUGAAUAUGACCUGCUAAUGUCAAGCUGCUCACAAUCUAAUCAUUUCACCCGCAAAAACAAAACAAAACUGUGAGGCUGGAAAAGUAAAACAAUAAAAUCAUCCGCAAGCUAGCUGAAGAUGCUUCCACUGUAAAAAAAAUCAACUUGAAAGGCAGCCUUUAACACCUAUGAAAUCUGGUUCAUCGAGGCAGAUCAGAUUAUCAUGCACCCUUCCCCUUUUGAAGUUCUGUAAGAAAUUACUGACUUCCUAAUGGCGUAUUCGUCUCUCAACAGUAACAAAACACUGAUCUAGGGACAGGCCAGUUCUAUUUCCGAGAAAUUAAAAAAAAAAGUUUUAGCAUGUAACCUGGACAAUGUCAGUUUCACCGUCGCUGUAAUCUCCCCAGCGCUUGUCUGCUUUCUCUUCAACCGGAAUUUUCACACAGUUUUUGUCUGUGGCAGCAACAUGAAUUGAAGGUGCAAUGGUAUCUGUUUUGGUUUCAGCUACAGACUGAUCAAUUUUAUCAUUGGAUAGAGACGGAACAGAACCUGAUUCUGCGCCACCUGCAUCUUCUUCAGUAACUACGGACAGAUCCUGUUCUUCGGAAACAUCCUGGUUGAUGUUUUUCUCAUCAUGCGAGGAUUCUUCACUAUUAUCUGCUGCAACUUCAACAGUUGCUGAAGGAGAUUUUUCCGGACUAACAGGAGAUAAUGGAAUAUCAUUUUGAGUCACAGUAGGUGCUACUUGAGUAUCAUCUGGAGACAUGGGGUAAUUGUUUGCGGAAGCUAAAUAACCAUUAGGAGCAACUGGAUAGCCAUUAGGAACCCAUGGCUGGCUAGGUACAAACUCAGCUGCAUGCGGAUUCAUAAUUAAUGGAGGCAUGAAGUGGUUACCAUCUACAGCAUGUUCAACACUGUGGAACGCAGGUUUGUUACGUGAAACACGACUACCAGAUCUGUUAUAACCACCUGAAAGUCGGGGACCGUAGGGCACUCUUGCUGUUGCUGAUUGAUGCGGUGAUCUUCUGACAGGAUUAACUGUAAGCAUGGGUGGAAUAUUCACUGGCUGAGGCAGUAUACCACCCUGUUCCGGUAUGCCUAAUAUUGCAACUGAACCAAAAAUUGGAACAGUAGAUGGAUUAUAUGGCGGUGCAGCUGCAGAUAGCUUCUUGGUCAUCUCUUUUGCAUCACCUUCUGUUACCUCUGGGACAGAAUUAGCACUCGUGUUGACUUGCUUUUCUGCAUCCUUUUCCAGAGAACCAACAUUUCCGCCAUCGCCAGUUACAUCAGGCAAAGUUUUCUCUAUGGACGGUGUCUCAGCUUCAGGACUGGAGGCAUCUUUGUCUACCAUUACAACCGGAGAACCAGAUUCUGUAGGAGUUGCUGAGAAUUUCUCUACUUCUGCUCCCAACAAUUCGCCUUUGAGAUUGGUGUUUGAAUUCUUAGAAGUACCAGAACUCGAAGUAUCCAAGCCAGGAUUGGUUUUUACUUUUGUGGCAUCAUCAGAUAUGAUCUUUACUUCUGGAAUGGUGUCAGAUUCUUGGUCUUUAAGAGCUGUAAUCUUUUCAUCAACUUUUGUUUCUUGUUCUUUGAUAACAGUCAUCUUCAUUUCCUUAUCUGAAACUAAAUCUUCACUUUUUGAGGGGUGCGGUCCUUUAGAAUCUUUUUCAGUCGAUUCUGUUAUCUCUUUAGUCACUUCAGAACUUUUUUCAGAUGCACCUUCCUUGGGUAAAUGUUCGGCCACUGCUUUAACAAUACUACCAGGAGGAGCCAGAGCAACUUCUUUGUAGGAAAAAAGCUUUCCAGCAGCUGCUACACUAACUGAAUUAAUAACUUGAGCGCGCUUGGCAACUUGCUCAGCUGCAGCCGGGCUAGCUGGAGCUGACUUUGGGUUGGGUACUUUUUCUGUUCCAGCAGGUGUUGUAGGAUUUUUUAAUUUUGGACUGAAGCUCGCACUCUUUGUUAAACUUUUUGAAACAGGAAGAGCAGAAGCAGCAGACUCGUUUGAACCUGUUCUUGGAGAUGUAAAAUUAGUUGGUUUCCCUCGGUACCUGGAGGACUGGGUACCAGUCAUUGAAGUAGUGUUCAAUUUUGAUAGGCUUGGCUUUCUUGAACUAGAUGAUUUACGUCCUGACAGUGAGCGACCUUUAGGAAAAGCCUCUUGCCAUCCUUCAUCCGAGGUGUCAUCUGGUUGCAGGUCACUGUAUGUGGUCAAUCCAGUCUGCUCAUGUAGAACAGGUUCGGAUUUAUUAGGCAUCACGUCAGCAGACUGAGAUUGAAAAACGUCUAGUGAUUUAGAUUUGCUCUCUUCGUCAGUAGUAGAAUUUGUCUUAUUGAGGUCUCCUGGUGGUGAAAUUUCAUCCUUUUGGUACUCAUCUGCAACUGCCUCUUCAAGUUGGUCUGGUUUGCCUUUAAGCUGGAUGAAGACACAAACUGUUUAGUAUAUAAUAACGAUAGAACUUGACCUGUUUUUAUAUUCUUUAAAACACAAGAGUGUUUUUUUUCUUUGGAGGGAAAAGGUGUGCCAAUCAGAAAAUUACCAGCUUUGCACGAGCUUGCUUCUUCUGGGCAUCUCUUGCUUUUAUAUCUGCAUCUGGUGCUAUGUAAUCUAACAAGUCCGAUACACUGAUCCAUGAGAGAAAAAGGUCUUCAUUUUAGUAAAAUACCAUGGGUUUGAGAACUAACACUAUGUGAACAAAUGGUAGCCUGGUAGGACCAAUGCAUCAGUUUUUUACCAUCAUAGUAACAUUUUCCCAUAAUUAUGUAAGAUUGAUGAGGACAUAUAUCUUACCUCAAGUGACCUUUGCUGGAGAUAGAGGCAUCUGGCUUCGGGGUGCCAUUCCGUGCAGCUUCUUGUUGUUCCAGAGCCUUGGAUUCAAAAUAUUCAAGCCACGCAGCUGCAUCCUACAGGCAUAAGAUAUUUAAAGAUUAAUUGGAGAGAAUAAUCACCUUAUAAUACGACACUUCGUUAAAAGCAUGUAAGAAAUUACUUGUGUUCGUAGAUCAUCUGGUCCAAGCUUUGCCUGCAAUAUCUGUAAAGUAGUUUGCUCAUGCUGAACACUUAAGGAGUAAGCUUCCAUCAAAGAGAGAGCAAUGGCUAUAGCAUGAUAGCUAGCAGCUGUCUGAAAAUUAAAGAUAAGCACAUCAAGAACAAAAAUACAAGUGCAUGCUGCUGGAGCCAAAAAUUGUUCGGACAUGCCAAGGGAGAAGCAGGUAAGACUCUGUGAGAGUGAGACGCAACCUCAGGUGCAAUUCUUUUAGUAGUUACAUAGACAUAUUAAACUUGACCUACUAGAAAUAUUACUUCAGAGAGAAUGAACUUACUUGUAUAUGAUCAGCACCAAGUAGUCUUUGAUUACACUUCAGAGCCUCGUGAAGGUACCUUAGCGCAACAUGUGCAUUCCCUAGACCUUCUUCCAUCAUUGCUACAUUGAUAUAUGUGGCAGCAGUGUUUGGAUGAGAAGGCCCGCAUGUUAGAUGCAGAAGAUACAGUGCACGAUUGACAUACCUAGAGAUAGAGUAAACAAAAGUACCCGUCUCCAUAGCAUAAGAAUGUGUUUUAUGAUAUACGGGUGAAAAUUUCAUUCCAACACAAUAACACAUUACAAGAACAAGGAAUACACAUAUACAUACUUCAAGGCCAACUCUGUGUGUUGCAGCCUGUAAUAGAAAACCGCUAAAUCUCCAUAACUUUUCAUCGUAUCUGGGUGGUCCAGUCCAAGCUCUCUCUCAUUGAUAUCUAGAGCUUUUUGCUGAUAGAUGGUAGCCUGAUUUAAAAAGACCAAAAAUAGGGGAAUGACAUUGAGUUCCACUAAAAAUUCAAAUUAGCACAUGAGCAUAAGAUCUGCAGCGCGGAACAAAUUUAUAUUUUUUAAGGUGUCACUGAUUUCAUGACUUAUCCAGUGUUCUAAAAGGAAAUUAUACAUGGGCUGAUAACUGUAAUGCCUAUUACAUAAUAACUAGCUUAAAACCCGUGCAUUCACGGGCGGUUAUAAUAUUUGUUAUUUUAUUGUAUAUAUUUUAGAUUUAACGAAUUUUAUUGAAAGUAAAAUUGUGAUAGAAUAAUGCGAUUAGAAAAACUUUUAUUUAACAACUAAAUAAAUUCUUAAUAUUUAAAUCUUUCAAAACUAAUUUAUAAUUAGGUCAAAUAUAUAUUUUUAAAUGUGAAUGUUAAAAUAUAUUUUUUACAUGUUACUCCCUCCUUUCUUGAAUAUAUGCCUUUUUGACUUUUUCGCACACAUUUUAAGAUACCUUGACCACAUAGCUAGAAAUGUUACUUUCAAAUAUUUUUUUUUAUGAAUAAAAGUAUUGAUAUAAUAUUUUUAUUCAGAAAAAAAAUUUAAAAAUAAAAUUUUUAACUAUAUAGUCAAAACUUUAAUAUGCGUGCAAAAAAGCCAAAAGACAGAUGUUUAAGAACGGAGGGAGUAUAAUUUAAGGAGACCCAUAAACCCAGAUAGAAACAACCCAAUUAGCAUUUUAAUAUUUAGUUAUUAAUAGUUAAUAAUAUAGUAUAAAACAUAUUAUAAGUUAAAGGGAAUCGUAAACUCAAAUAUUGAUAUAAUACUAACCUAAUUUUAAUGUUUUGAUUUAAUAGACAAUAAAAAAUAUAUAUUAUAAUUUGUUAUAAAUUACGGAGGUUCAUCGAUCGAAUAUGAAACGGUUUAUUAAACUUGAUCGACCGAUCAACUGAAUUUUUCAUAUUUCGGUUUUAAUAGUACAAUAAUAGAUAGUAUAGCAUAGAUUUGUAAUAUUACUUUUAAAUUGAGACCAUUAGAGUAUUUAAAAAUAACAUUAAUAUAUUUUGGUCGAAAAAUAUCACUAUUUAUUUAUUAAUAACUAUAUAUUAAUAAUAUUAUAUAUAUAUAUANUAUAUAUAUAUAUAUAUAUAUAUAUAUAUUACUUGUGUUAAUUGUAGAAGAUCGGUUUUUUUUUGGUUAAAAAAUAUUAAAAAGAUAAUGCGUUUUAGUUAAAAAGAUAAUUAUUGUAUUCCUCGAUGAUCAUUUAGAAUAUUGAAUUUUUUAGUUAGAAAAUAUAAAGAAGAUAACAUAUUUUAGUUAAAAAGAUAUUUGUUUAUAUAGAUAGGCCUGUAUUCCGCCCAAAGUUAAAAAUAAUAAUUAGUUAUUUAGAUAGACCCGUAUUUCGGCUCAAGUACCGAGCGACCAAACUUUCAAUAUUUCGGCUUUAAUAGUAAAAAAGAUAACAUAUUUUAGUAAAAAGAAUAAAUGGUUAUAUAGAUUAGCCUCAAAGUUAAAAAUAAUAAGUAGUUAUAUAGAUAGGUUCGUAUUUCGAACCAAGUACCGACCGAACAAACUUUCAAUGUUUUGGCUUUAAUUGUAAAAAAGAUAACAUAUUUUAGUUAAAAAGACUAAUUGAUUAUAUAGAUAGGUUUGUAUUUCGUCCCAAAAUUAAAAAAAAUAGAUUAGUUAUAUAGAUAGGUCCAUAUUUUGGCUCAAGUACCGACCGACCAAAUUUUUAGUUAAAAAGAAUAAUUGAUUAUAUGGAUAGGCCUGUGUUUCGGCCCAAAAUUAAAAAAAUAGAUUAGUCAUAUGGAUAAGCGGCCCAAGUACCGACCGACCAAACUUUUAAUGUUUCGGCUUUAAUAAUAUAGUAUAGAUGACUCGUCUCAGAUCAGAUAAGGCAAGGAAGAAAAAGUAAAUUAAACAAAGUUAUUGUUUCUGUGGAAGCAUUGCCUCAGUUUCAGUCAUUGUUCUAGUCUGAAUGUCUGAUGACAUUAGAUUGUCACCUAACUCUCACUCCUUCCCCGAAAUGGAAUCUCAUUUGCCAAGAAAAACUUACCUGAUUAAAGUCCCCAGUAUGGUAGAGGACGACAGCCAAAAGACUAUAUGCACCUGCUGUCAUUCGAUGAUAAGGGCCACAUACCGCCACAAGUUUCGAAAGUGCCUGCAAAAUAAAAGAUGACAUUAAUUCACUGAAUUUAUCACUUAACUACACAAUAGACAAUUCAGUGUUAAAGAAAACAUAGAUAGUCUGUUACCUUAGUGCCAUAAUUUACAGCAUCCUCUAAUUUCCCUUUGUCUAACGAAGUCUUAGAUGAUUCCAACAGAGUCCUUCCAUCAGCAGACGAGCAUGCAACAUGCUACAAUAAUCAUGUUGCCAAAAAGUUCCGAAGAUAUGACAGUUGAACUUCAUUGCCAAUUGAUUUAAAAAAAUCAUCAAAAUGUAUAUGAUACCUUGUAUACAGGAACCAUGCUCACAAUAUCUAGCUUCUUGAAAGGUGAGACUGAAUCCAUAUCAUAGUCCCUAGGAACAAUCUCAAGUCCAACCUAAUAGAGAAUUAUUGCGUCAGAGUAUUGGAUAAGAAAUAAUUCAGUAGACACGGAGUUUUAAGUGGAAAAAUUCUUUACUUUCUGGCAAAGCCCACGAAGAACAGAGAAUUUACGGAGAUCCUGAGAGCUUUGGUGUUUCCACUGCCAUCCAAAUCUCUUCACAAGGAAGGUUUCCACCCACUUCCACUUCAAUGUGUCUAUACUGUCAUUUUCUGCAUUAGAACUGUCCCCAGAUGGUGUCCCCAGCAACAUAUUUAAGCAUGACGCUAUUACAGCAGCCAAAUCAGCAAAGUUAUUAACUGCUGCAACAACAGCCUGUACUAUGUGUUUGUAAGCUCGAACAACCAUCUCAUGUACACAAAGAGAUUGCACAUGAGGGAGCUUGUCUGCAAGUUCAACCUGAUGCAAAAGAAAGAAAGAUGGUUACAGCAAGCACCGAUUUCGUGAAGGCCCAAAAGUUGUUAGAGCAAUUGAAACUUCUCAAUGCAUUGAUUUUGUACGAGCAGUCAUAGUUCUUCAAACAAGUCAAAAAAUAUAAUCAUUGACCUUGGUCCAAAAAUGCAGUAGAACCUAGCUAGGGGUAAAAAUGUAGAAGAAAAAUACGUUGAAACGAUUCAUUUUCAAAUCCAGACAGUGGUUCGCAACAUUAGAGACGUCUUAUAUGAAAUGCAUUGAUAAUGAUAUUUUACGGGCCCAAAUGUUCUUCUUAGCAAGUCCAAAGACUAAUGCGCUAGAAUUUUAUUUGUAGUGCUGCUUUCGUACAAGUACAUCAGCAAGGAUGUAGAUUUGAUACUCCCUACAAUAUUAAUCUUCUGCUCUCUUGAUUAUUAUGUACACCCUCUGUGCAUACCAUGAUGGCCUUCCUGAACAUUCCACAAUGCAACCAUAGACUAGUGAAUGAGAGCAGUAAUUUUGUUUGUUUGCUAGAUUUUAUAGAAUACAAGUGAAUUUCUAACAUAUCAGCUUUUGUCCAAUGUUCUCAUCUUCCAUGUUCUUUGUUUCGAAAUUCUACUUGAGAAAUAUUGCAUUUUACAUAAUCAAAUGAUAAUCAUGUGUCUUACCGGCACAAGUAAUAUGAAUAUUGAGGAUUAAGCUAGAAUGUCAAAUGAAGCAAUUACCACACGCCCUAAGGAGCACAUUCUUAGACCCCUAGUGUGCAUGAAAUCUGUCAUUGUCCUUCCAUCAACUGGUGAAAGUUCAAGUGAGCCAAAAUCUGCUACCUGGCAAAAGUUGAAGUUGCAGAAGUAAAAAAGGCAUGCUGCUUCUCUAGCAGCCAACACCAUAAAUAAGGUAGAAAUAUGAAUAUCUUUAUCACGUAACUGACCAGUUUUGGAAGAGCAAUUUCCGCAUAAUACUUAUGUGCCAUCUCAAUUAACUCAUCAGGUGACUGCAAACAGAACCAACAAAAUAUAAGAACAAGCAGGUAUAUGUUACCAAGAGACUGUUAUAUUAUAUCACCUCUUGAGCAGAGAUGUACUACAUUAGGUCGUCAACCUAUAAAAAAUAGCAUUCACAGAUGUAUUUUUCCACAAUUAAUAGUCCUCCAAAUUUGAUCAUCCCAAGACUAAUAAAAAAGGAAAAUAAAUUGUGAUGGAGGAAGUAGUGUAUAGAAAAUCACUCAACCAACCUUAAGGUGUAGACCAGUUUCUGAUUCCUUAAGGCGCAGAUAUGAUGCCUCAGGAAGCAGUUUUUUCCACAUGUUUUCUUUCUCCUCAUCUUGUUUCUCUGAUUCUUUCUGAUUAUUACCAGAUGAUUUCUGCAGGUCCAAGCUAUUCGCCUCCUUUCCUUGUUCAGUUUUGCUAUUCUUUUCAUCCAAUUUCUUCUUAAUAUCCUUCAGCAAUCCACCGUUCUUCCCAAGACCCUUUACAGCUGCUUCGACCUUAGAUUCUUCAGUCUUCUUGGAUUCUGAUUUCCCUGAAACUGGAUUCUGUAAAUGUUGCACCCAACAUGCUCCCAGCUCCCAUCGGAUAGACUUUGUUUCUUUCAAGCCUUCCUCCUGCAACUUCAGCAAGCUUUCUUCCAAUACUUUCCUUAUCAAAGAUGUAGCAAAAUGUAAAUCUUCACCAUCAGUGGUCUGUGACUUUUGAUAUGCACCAGACGAUUGAGGUGUGGAUGGCUUGUGCAGUAGCAUUCUUAAGCUGUGAAGUAAAAAAGCAAGGAAAGGUCAAACAUAAGUAAACAAAGUCUUUUGCAUCAGAAAAAAAAAUUUGUAGCCCAGUUCACUAUAUAUGGUCUGUAUGCAGUACUAUAUGGUAGCUUAAUAGCGACUAUGGAACAAAAUUUGAUAACCUGACUUCCAAAUUAAAGAACUUGGACUGACCUAUUUACAUUCAAUGCGUUAGCACCUCCCUCCGGUUGGUCCUCUACGUCAAUGUCAUUAGGAAUGGGCUUUCCAUUCCAGUUCACCUCAGCUGCAACUUUUACAACAGCUGUGAAUCCACAAUGUCUGACAACCACUACACCUAAAGUUGAAGUAUCCUGAAAGACAAGAAAAUUUAACCACAUAUUAGAACCAAGCAAAGGAACGAUUCAAACAGCAGCAAUCACGUAAAUGAUGAAUGCAACGGUGCAGCAAAACAUAUACUGACAUGGACUGUGGCACUUUCAUCUGCGGUUAUGCCUUUGAGUAAGUUUCUCUUUGCAACUUCUUCUUCUGACACUCCUAGAACCCGACAUCCAUCACUCUUGCCAUCGAGUUUUGUGCUUGCAUUGGACAUAUCUCUCGUCACUAACAUAUGUAGAUCUCCAAUUAUUUCCUCAUGUGAAGCUGGAGCACUAGGAGUAGGGCUUUGACUGUUGCUGAUGAGACUCGAAAUGACUGCAACUGCUUUACAGACUGAAACGUCGACAAAUAAGCUAUGUAGUAAAAAGGCCUUCCUGUCUCUAACUUGUCUCUCUUCUGGAGUUUUACAAGGCAUUGCUGCAAGAAUUGAGAACUCUUUUGCCCAUUCCCUUUGAUCAUGCUUGCCAUCUCUUGCUUGUCCACCUCCACUUCCUCCCCAAGUUCCAUCUUCCAAGGGAAGUGGAUGAAAGAGAGAUGGGUUAUCAAUAACAAUUGGAGGAACAACCCAUGUGUUGGCUCGAAAACCAUAAGGCAAGUUUCCAAACUGAAACAACAAACAACCAAGACAAAUAUUACAACAUUCCUGCCUGCAUAGAGUAAUCCUACAAGGUGAUUAUGGUGAACUUACUUUAUUAUGCUCGACAAACGCUUUCAUGAGAGCUUUAUAUGCCUGAAACACAAUUAGCCCGAACAUUAAUAUCAACAUCAGAUGUAUGAAAGACAGCCAUACAUUCCAUAAAUUUAAACAAGUUACUACUCACGGCAUCAAACACCCUGCUCAAUUGCUGCAAUAACCCCACCAACGAGUGACUCAAAAGAUUGCGUUUUCCAGCUGGGUAAAAUCCGUUCCUAGAAGCAACGAUCGUUGUUGGCUUACCACUGCAGACCCUGACCUGCAUAGAAUUGUACAAUUUCACCCAUUGCCUCUGAAUGCUUACUUAAAUACGAUAAUCAGUCCAACAAUUUAUUCAUCCUUGUCCACUAAACGCAUGCCAAAGAUAGAUGAAGAUAUAAUUUCGCUACUUAAUUCCACCAAAAGAUAAUGAAAAUUCUCACAUCAAUUUGGAAGAAAUCAUCAUCUGUUUUAUCCUCUAGAAAUGGUCUAGCUGAUCUCCUGAUAUCUGCAUUGUAAAGGAUAAUGUCAACAAGUACUCCCUGUGGUUUUUUUAAAGAAAAAAACUAAAAACAACACUUGGUAAAUCACAAACAAGUUUUGUAUUCGUAGAAAUAGAGAAAUUUCAAGAGUGUGGCUACGUUUUACACCCAUUUACGAUAUUGUGGCUGAAUUUUAAAUUUCGCAAAAACAUAACUGGUUUCUCUAUAUGAUACCCUGUAUUAUCUUCUCUCUCAAACAACCGCGCCACUAUCCCUCACCCACCCAGACUCUCACUUUCUUUUCUCCCCUGACAUAACCCAUGUCCUGCCCCUCUUCCUUAAUCCCGCACCUCUUCCUGUUCAAUCCCGUAAUCACACGGGGCAGCUCCUCCGUAACAGCCGCCUGAAACCACCCUGGAGAAAGUACAGCCGCCGCGGCGGAACCCCACCCACCGUCACCAUCCCUCUGUCCUUCUUCAUCACCGACCAUACUCCGUCCUCACACCAUCACCAGCGUUCAAAACAAACGCAUAUACACACAAUUAUACAAGCAACGAGACUGAAAUUAAUCAUCAAAAUAAAGUUUUUUAACCUCCAAUUUAGACCCCCUGUCAUUGAUCUCUCCGCGGUUAUAAACCCUAAUUAUCGUUGCUAUCCCAAAAUCGAAUGAAUUAUCUUUAUAAUUAGGGCACUCAGUAGCUUCAUACUUUGUGCAUCUCACUCGUUCGCAUAUGUACCAAUCCAUUGCAAAGCCAAAUUAAGUGCAGAUGUGCAGCAAUCAACGAUUUGGGAUUUAGUAAUUAGGGUUUUAACUCUGCGUAACAGUUGAGUAAAAUAGAAUGAAUUAUAGCGCGCCUUUUUUUUUAUCUUCUUUGGAAGGCGCUUUUAUUGGGUUUUACGUAUCUGCACCUUCAAUUACUCCCUCCGUUUCAAUUUACAUGUCUACUUUCAAGAAUUCAAAUUAUUUGUUGAUUUCAACUUUCAAAUAUAGCUUCGGUUAAAUCCGGAAAUAAAGCCAUGCAUGCAAAUGUACAGAAGUACAUAUUUGAGCUUACAUUGAAUAGGUGGAGUGAGGUGAGAAAGCGAAAAGAAGUCAUAGAACUGCCCAAGUCUAGGUGGCGGACACAUCAUCGCCGUCACCGAGUCACCGUCCGUCUUCGGCGACUUGACGCCGUUUGCCGUCGAUUUUUUCUCAGUCGAACCGGCACUGUCUAGACCGGAUAGCGGUUCAACUGAACCGGGUUCGUUAAGAACAGGCCGACCGGGCGGUUUAGGAGAAGACGAACCGCCAAAAAAUGUGGUGCAUGCAACAAUGUCCAAGAGGCGUCUAAUGUGUGUCACGCUCGAUUCUUCGCUGUAAUUCUCUGCAUUAAAAUAAUAAAUUCCAUUUUUAUUAAUACUAAAAAUAAAAUAAAUUAUACGGAGUAAAUUUUAAAAAUCAGAGACUUCACGAGAAAAUAUACCUUCAACAAUGGCGAGGCUGCAUGGCUUCAGAGUCGCGAUUUCUACCGAAUCUUUCAGUUUAGCUCCUCGAAUCUUUAAAAUAUUCAAUGAAUAUCCAAAUAUAAAUCGAUAAUUAAUUGAAGAUAAAUUAUCUACAAUUUCAAAUAAUAUAUACAUGUAACUGAUGUAAGAUCUAAACUUCGGUUGGAAUACUCAAUAAUUAUAGUUCACGAAAAUGUAAUUUGGCAAAAAAUGAUUUUAAAAUCAGUUUAUUUAGAUAUUUAACACUGCAUUAUAUGAAUAUAUAUUUUCUCUAGUUUUUCAACUGUUUGACACGUAUUUUAAAAAAUAUAUAAAAUGAUUUAUAAUUUAUUUUAAGAUUUAAUAUUGUUAUUAUUAUUUAAAAAAUUUAAAAUAACUAAAAAAGGUUUAAAUUCCUUCUCCGACCCGGGGUCUAAAAAGCCCAUGAGAAUACAUUUUGGGCUUAUGAACCGCCCAGAGCCUACCUCGUGUGAGAAUGAAUAAUUAGUGAGAUAACAGGUCUCCACGUGGACGGCUAAUAGCUUCCUCACAUCCAAGAUCCUGUCCGUUGAUAUUCCCUAUCAGAAAAAAGCCCGAAUUAAAUCAGCUAAAAGCAUCCAGAUAUAGCAAGUACACAAGGUGGUCACAAUGUAAUUUUCGGGCAUACCUUUAGCGUCAGCUGUGUACCGUCUGGCGUUUCCACCAUCACUUCUAUCACAGUGGGCAACACUGCAAAUUUCACAUCUUCAUUAACACACAUUCUAUGCUCAUCACACAGUGACGGUACAGAGUACACUAAAUCUCGAAAAAUGUAAAUAUUACUAGUUGUGUCGAAAAACAUAUGAAUGACUAGUUACACAGCACAUUAAUUCUCGAAAAGUCUAAAUAAUAUCACAAAUAAUAUCGGGAAAUAUAUGCAUGAUUAGUUCAUAGCCAACUCAUAUUUUUUUCAUAAAUAAUAAUAAGAUAAGAAGUCGAGAAUUCAAAUUUCAUGGGUGAAUAAAUACUAAAUAAUCAAAUUAAUACAUCAGUGACAAACUACUGGCAAAUAAGUUACAGUCCCACGCAUGUAACUCUGGGAUAUAUUAUAAGCUGCUUUUAAGUAAAUAACAUGUCCUUAUAACUCAAGUCAAAUAAAAAGCGUAGUCACUAACCUUUCUCUUCUUUUUUCUUCUUCUCUCCUUUGGCCUUGUGAGGCUUUGUUUUCCCGGUUUUUGGAGCCAUUUUGCUGAGUUCUCCGAGCUAGUUUCUUGAACACAGGCUUAAUGGGUAGCUAUAUAUCUGUGUGUAUACUAUUUAUUAACCGUUACAUAACAGUUAAAGCACUCCUAAAAAUCUCUAUCCACUACAAAAUCUUGUACAAAACUGAAGUGUGAACUUUUUUUAUUUUAUCUUCAUAUGUUCAAAAGAAUUGCUAUAGUGGUUUGGAGUGUGCAUAUUUUGUACAUGUAUGUUUAUAUAUAUGUAAGCAAGUUUACUGUUUAAGGAAGCGAGAAUGAUGAGUAGAGAAAAGGAAUGUGUAGGAGGAGGGGAGGGGCCAAGAGAAAGGUGGAGAGAAUAGGUACUGGAGAGAGAGGAAAGGAUAUAUGCAUUGAGGGAGAGAGAUUUGGGAGAGAUUAGAGAGAGAGAGAGAGAGAGAGAGAGAGAGAGAUGGAACGGAUAGGAUAAGGUAAGCCCGAGAAGCUUAGCUAAUAGCUAGUUGGUUCCAUAAUCUAUCCUUGGCUGAGAAAAAUGAGCAAGGAUUUUGGCCCUCUCGUUCUUUGCUCUAUCUCUCCGUUUGUAACUUUCUGUCCCUGAGCCUGCCCAAUUUUUUCAUGGCCUUUAUUUGGUAUAAUCAUUAUUGGGUUUGUAAUUUUGUAUUGUUUUACGAAGCGCGUUUGGUGUUAAUAAUCUAAUCUAAUGGACUUUCGAGAAUUGUGAUAUAUUGUGAUUAAUAAUUACUAAAAACUCGGCGGUUAUAAAAUUCGUAAUUUAUUAUACAUAAUUUAGAUUUUAACAUCAUUUUAUUAGUGUUUUAAUAUUAAUAAAUUAAAUUUUAAUUAAAUUUUAUUGACCAAUUGAUUAUAUUUUCUCACGAAAAUUUAGCUUUUACAAUUAAUUAUCUACUUAUAAAUAUUUUUUUGUUGUUAAUAUGUGAUAAUUUAUCAUUCAAUUAAUUUUACAUCAUAUUUUUCAUAUUUCGUAUAUAUUCAUACGUAUGAAUUUUUUUUUAGUGUAACAUAUUAGAGUUAGAAAAUGUUACGUAAUGAUUCGUGUUUUUGUUGAAAUGAAACAUGUUAGUGUUAAAAAUAGUUAUAUGAAGACUUUUGUUAAAAGAAAGAUAUUCAGAAUUAUAUGUCAAGUCUAUAUAUAUUGUUAAACGGGUCAAUUUCAAAUUAAAUAAAAUUAUUUAAAUUCACAAAAAUACAAAAUUUUAAUUUCAAGUCGUUUUUACAUUGACUUGGAAAUUUUCAGAUCAUUUUCAUAUUUUAUCUCAUCAAAUUAUUUACUUGUGAACCGAGUUGGUUGGUAAACCAAACCAAACAUACUCAGUAUAUCCCGCUUAGAGCAGGGUCUGAGAUGGAUAAGAUGUACGCAGCUUUGCCCCUCCCCUUAAAGCAAAGAGACUGUUUUCGUGAAGACCCCCGGCUUAGUGCACAAUAAAUAAUAUAGUGUGUGAUAUAAUAUUAAGAUAUCUUAGCCCAUGGCUAGGGCUGUCAUUCGAGCCGAGCCGGGCGAGUUUCGAGCCGAGCCUAAUUCGAGCCAAGUUUAAUCGAGCCGAGCCGAGCCGGCUCUGUUAACUAAUCGAGCCUAAAUCUUUGCCCGAACUCGACUCGGUUAAUUUCACGAGUCGAGUCGAGUCAGCUCGUUUAGCUAAACGAGCCGGUUUUAACGAGUCGAGCGAGCCAGCUCGUAUAAUUUUACACUUAAUCGAGCCCAAACCUCUACCCGAACUCGGCUCGUUUAAUUUCACGAGUCGAGUCGAGCCGGCUCGUUUAAUUAAACGAGCCGAAACCUUUGCCCGAACUCGGCUCGUUUAACGAAUCGAGUCGAGCCGAGCCCACUUAAACGAGUUCGAGCCGGGCGAGCUCGCGAGCCGCCCGACUCGAAUUACAGCCCUACCCAUGGCCUUCUUCACAUGAGACUUACUUGAACAGUUCCCGUUUGUCGAUGAUGGACGACAAUAAUGUGAAACGGAGAUAUCAAACUGGAGCAUUUGGCAACAACCGUCAAUACACUAACCCCCACCUCAUGCAAUACCCUUGUAGACUAUGGCGACACGAAUUCAUAACACCCCUUAUCAAAUCAACCUAAAUGAACUUUAUCAUGAAUGCGUAUUUAUCUUAAUGAUAAAAAUUUUCAUUUCAUAAAUAUUAUAUUUCAAUUUAUUUAAAAUAUAAUGUUUUUUGAAAUAUUAUAAUAAUCCUAUAUAAAUAAAUUAAAAAAAAUUAUAAUACAAUUCCUUAAAAUAAAAAAAAAUAAAUAAUUCGUCGGAAUAUAUAUGCAACUAUGCAAGUAUUAUUCAACCGUUAUAUUCUUCCUCUAAAACCCCUCUUUCAAAAACCCUAACAAUGGCAGCAAACAACCCCGAAACCCUCCAAAUCCACCGCAUCCCCCAAUCCACCUACAUCGACGCCGUUCGCUGGCUCCCCCCUCUCUCCGUCUUCGAGCGCUUCAUCCUCCUCGCGGUCUCCGACUCCAAUUCCGACGCUUCCCUCCUCGAAAUCCGUGCCCUAAACCGCUCUAACCCCUCUAUCUUAACCCCCCUAUCUUCCCUCCAACUGGCCUCCCGCACAUCCUCUCUCAAAGUCUGCCAGACCCCCCACAAGCCCCUGAUCGCGGCCUCGAGUUUUUCGGGUUCGGUUCGUUUUUUGUUUGUGGAUAAUGUGGAGGUUGGGUUUGAUGGGUCGGAGCAUAUCGUGCCCGAAAAGAGUUUACACGUGGGACCCAUUUCGUGUAUUGACUUGGGGGGAAAUGAGUUGGAGUGUGUUAGUGUUGGGGAGGAUGGGAGAGUAGGAUUGGUGAGUGUUGGUGAGGGGGAGUUGAGUGUUAGGAAGGUGUUUGAUAGUGCUGGAUUGGUGUCGUAUAGUGCGGUGAAGUGGGCUAGUCCGACGGAGUUUGUUACGGGUGGGUUGGGGUUUAGUGUGCAGUGGUGGGAUUUGAGGAAGCCGGGUGCAGCGGUAUCUCAGUUUAAGGGGAAUUGGUGAGUUUCAAAUGUUACUAUUUUGUGUGUGCAUUGAUUCUUUGGAUGGAUAUUAGAUCUAGUUUAGUUGUCGAUCUUUAAUAACAAUGGCUGAUAUAUAGUGUAGCUCGUUGAUUUUUAUUUUAUACUAAUGCUUUAGAUUAAUAUAUACUUUUGGUAAGUUGCAAUUUUAGUUCCAUAGAUAAUUCGGUGGUUUGAUGUUGUAAAUUUGUGAUGCUUUUUCAGAGUAAUUGUUUUGGUUUCCUUUUACGGAAGUUGCUACUACAAUGUUCGGUUGGUACUAUGAACUAUGCUGAUGAUGAUAUUGCAGGGAUCAGGGCGCUAGCUCCGGGAUUGUGCAUUCCAUAGACAUCCAUCCAUCACGAAAACACACUUGCUUGGUAAGUUGCCUGCAUCAGUAAUGCACUUUGGCAAACCUGUAGUCACACAUAUAUGAAUUAUCAGGGAUUUAUUGGAAGCUCUGCAUUGUCAAUUUUAUAUGCACAACAUUUCUGAUAAUUAGGCAACUAAUAUUAAUUAGAAAGGGAAGUUAAUAGUUGCUUAGUAUCUUGUUUAAUUCUAAAGAGGACACACGUGUUUUAUUUAUGUUGCGUUAUGUGUUCACAACUUCACCUCCUUAUUCUUGCUUGAUCCAGAUUCAACUGUCAACCGUGUGUCAAGAUUUUCAGUCUUCUUUUAAGUCCAUGAUCUACAAUCAUUUUGUUUUAUAUGUUUCUCCGUUUGAAGGCAGGAGGCUCUUCUGGUACUGUUUUUACAUGGGAUAUUCGGUGGCCCCAGCAACCAAUAGUUCUUUCAGGGGCUGGGCAAGAUGCUGCAUCAGCUCGUUCACUAUCUGCAAGUGAGGUUUGGGAGGUUCAGUAUGACACUUUUACACGCUCUUCAAAUCAUAGAAUUUCAUCGACACGUGUUUUACCCGUAAUGAUGUGCUCGGAAGAUGGAAUCCUUGCUGUAACUGAAGAAGGUAUUGAAUUUCUGAUGAAGUAUGCACCAGACCUUUCAUUGUUGUACAUGUUUUACAACUUUUAAGUUGCUAAAUGGUUAUCAUAAAUUACCAGCUGGAGCACGAUUUCCCCGUAAACAGUAGUGUGUCAACUCCAUCAAGAUGUUUAUGCUUUGUAGCACAAAACUCAAAAGAAUCGUCUUUUCCACCUAAAUGAUAUUGUGAAAAUAUACAAGUAGAUACAUAAAUAAAUUUGUUAUUGCAUAUAUAUUUAGACUCGUAUGUUCCAUGAUAUAGGUCAUGUAACUAAGUUGUGCAACUAUUAUGGAGGAGAUUUGUAUUUUAGUUCCAUCGUUAAGACUGGAUUGUCUUCACAGCCGUGCAAGUUAAUUGUUUAGAGAGAACAUAUAGGAAAAGCAAAGGAAGGUUUUUGGAAUCAACUUUGUUAACUAAAGCGGGCUCUAUUGUUUGUUUAUCCACCAAUUUAUUGGUUUGUUUGUGGUAAAUGGUAACUGUGUUUGUAUUAGUGGGUGGUUGUUGAAUUUGUGUUAGGUGGUGUAACCAUAAUAUCUGGAUUAACGGGUAACAAUAGUCUAUGGUAGGGAUGAACAAAAAACCGAUUUGACAUCGAAACCAAACCAAAACUGAAAAACCCCGGAAAAAACCGAUCUGUAUAUAACCGAACCGAAAAAUAAAAACCGAUCCGAUUUAUAUGGUUGGGUUCCGGUUAUACCUCCCAACCGAAACGAUAAAAACUGAACCGAACCGGUUAUUAAAAUAAUAAAUAUUAUAUAUAAUAUAUAAAACUAAAACAUAUAUAUAUAUAUAUAUAUAUAUAUAUAUAUAUAUAUAUAUAUAAGUUACUUAUCCAUUAUAUUUGCUUUUCUGUUCAUGUACACUUCUUUUUAGUUGAAAACAUUUUGCAUCAUUUGUUGAUAUAUCAGAAUCCUGGAAAAACUAAAAUCAACUCAUGGAGCAAAGAUGAUUAAUUUAUACUUUUCAUUUGAGGAUACAUGAGCUUCAAUUCCCAUUACCUUUAGAAGGCUAUCUAGUGUCAACAUAGAGUGCAUGUGGAUAAUACAAUCAUCCCAACCCUCACAAAAUUACGAUUUUGUUCAUCAAUCUCACUGACAACUUGGUUAGGCCCCUCAUUAACUUCUUCAAUAUUAUGUCCUUGCAUCCUUGGUCAAGUUACAAUUCUUGGUAAUUUUGUCGGGAUUAUACACACUGAUGAAGUAGGAUUUUGUAAAUCAACUAGAGAAUAAUACUAGGCAUUUAAAAGCAUAUGUAAUGCACAUAACAUAGAAGUUGAGUAAGUUAAUUGAUUUACAAAUGACAUCAGUAAUUGUAUUAAUUAUUAUCUCUUGAUUGCGCGCAUCAAUUGGUCUCAUUUGUAUAUUAUUUUUUAAUUUUUUAAUUAUAGGUUUUGUAACCAAAACCGAGCCGAUUAUAACUGAACCGGGGUUUUUUAAACCGAAACCGAUUCAGAACCGGCGGUUGCGAUUUUCGAUUUUAGAAACCGAAGACAUAUGGUUACGGGUCUGGUUUUAUUCGAAAACCGAGCCGAAACGCCCAUGCUCUCCCCUAGUCUAUGGUUGUAGGUUUUCUCUGAAUAAAACAUAGAGCCACCAUAUAUACUGUUAUAUUUAUCAGCCCAUGAUGUAGAAUGUUGUAUACAGUCGUCUACUAGUCGACUAGUCGUUCUAUUGGAAAAAGUCGAGCAACGACUCAUUUAGUCCGACAACUAUGGGUUUUACCCGACACCCAGUCCGACCAGAAACUUCAGAAGGGUUUUUAUGCAAUUUUGUUAUGAAAAGAAAGAUAAGGCUUUGGGCGGACAUCAAGUCCGACUAAUAGACUUGUCGUUGGCUUGUAGGUUUAAUGUCAUUAGUAGAUAGUGUGUGUAGACAUACAUACAUACAUAUAUAUAUGGGUCAUGUUCCUUUUAGAACCCGUAGCCUAAGAAUUCUUAGAACCCUUAGCCUUAUUUCUAGUAUUAAUUAGGGUUUUGGAGUAGAAUUGCACAUGCAAAAAAUGUUGUGUUUAUGUAUUAUAGUUUGAAACUAUUUUUGGACACACACAACGAUGCAAAAAACAUGUAUUUGGAUUUGGAUCAUGAAAGUCUAUUUGAAAUUUAGAGUUUCGCAGAAAAACCUUAGUGGUUUUAAGGUUCUAUUUUAAGGAUUGGUUCUCUGUUGAGCGCGAUUCAUAUAUAUAAAUAUAUGUACAUUUAUUUAUUUAUUUUCUUUUGAUUUUGGAAAAACUUUUUAUGAUGUUUGUGGCUGCUGAAAUUCUGUAAAUCCAUGAUAAGCCGAGUAAAUUGGACCGCCAAUGAAUUUUUGGAAGAAGUACUGCCUAUAAGAGCAAGUCCAAUGGUGGUGCUAAAGUAGGUGCUAUUGCUAUAAUAUAGCAUCCAAGCAAAAAACUCAACUCCAAUGGGAUGCUAAACUUGAAUGUAAAAUAGCAAAAUGAUAUACUUGGUUCUAUAUACUUGGUUCUUUAUAUAGAACCAAGUAUAGAUAGUGCUAUUAUUGCCACAUAAGCAUGCAAGUGACAAAAAUGCAUUAAGAAAGUAAUAGUGACAAAUAUAGUUAUGUCCUUUAAAAUUAUGUAAUUAGAAUAUAGCUAUAUUUGGAUAUGUUUGGUGCUAUUUUGAAUUUACCAUUGGACCACAAGUUCUAAAUAGCACCAAAAAUCACUUUUUGGUUUCAAAUUAUAACAGUAGAUGGUGAUGUUAAAAUAGAUGUAGCUAUUGUUAUAAUUUGAAACCAAAAAGUGAUUUUUGGUGCUAAAAUAGAACUUAUGGUCCAAUGGUAAAUGUGAAAUAGCACCAAACAUAUCCAAAUAAAGCUAUAUUCUAAUUACAUAAUCUUAAAGUACAUAACUUUAUUUGUCGCUAUUACUUUAUUAAUGCAUAUUGUCACUUGCAUGCUUAUGUGGCAAUUAUAGCACCAUCUAUAUAGAACCAAGUAUAGCAUUUUGCUAUUUUACAUACAAGUUUAGCAUCCCAUUGGAGUUGAGUUUUUUGCUUGGGUGCUAUAUUAUAGCAAUAGCACCUACUUUAGCACCACCACCAUUGGACUUGCUCUUAGAUGUGGUAUAAAUAUCUGUUGCAAGAUAUAUACUCAGAUGCCCUGUAAGCCUACUUUAUGGUUUAGUGAUCGAUUGUGUUUUAUCACAGUGAAAAACUGAAAUGAAGUCAUUUUUGGACAGAGGGAGUUCUUUGCUUCUAUAUAUUUUAAGUUCUUCUGCAUGAUCCUGGGCUCAAGGCCUCUCUUUCUUAGUCUAGGUUUCGUAGUGAUGGACUUUGUUUGUGAACUUAUGAUUUCAUUUCCAUGGAAAUCAUAUUACAUGUAUGCUCAUUUUGGACUAAUUCUGGUGAAAUCUGUACUGUACAGGUGAAGAACCCAUUGAGCUUCUAGUAGAACCGUGUGCUAUCAAUUGCUUUGACAUUGACAGACAAAAUCCCUCGGUAUGUUUUGAAAAAUGUAUUUGGUUUUGCACCUUUAUAAAUGCUUUUCUAUCUUAUAUUUAACUUAUCAAGCCUGUAAAGUACCGUGCACAUGUUAACUUUUCUAUUUUUUACAGGAUGUAAUUUGUAGCAUGGAAUGGGAGUCUGUAGCAAUAUUGUCGAGGGCUUAAAUUUUGAAGAUGGACUUGGAGUUGAAGUACCUUGGGUCAUUUCUCGUCAAAACCUCCCUCUUACACUUUGAAGAAGCCUGGUUGGCCAGUUCCGAUUAUUGGAUUCUGAAAAUUUGUUAUUCUUGAACAGGAACUUGUAAAGAUUCCUGGCUUUGGGGGGUAAUAAUCAUUAAUUUCCUCAAGAGAAAACUGACCUAGUAAAAUGCAUUCUGUAAUAUAACCCAUAGUCCAUAGAUAAUUCCUGCAAUCUCUGUGUAAUCAUCUUGUGGCUUUAAUUGUGUGUAAACAAAUUGAAUAUGGAACUCUGAUGAGAAAGAUUUAGAUCUUAUUAUGGGUUUGAUUUACCUUUUAGUGGGAAAUAAAAAGAUUUUUGUGUAAAGAUACUAAAAUUGUUUAAAGAGAACAACAGGAGGUUACGUAGACAAUCCCAAACCAUGAAAUUGAUGAAAAUUACAUCCUGCUUGUUUAUCAUAUUAUUCUAGUAUCGUUGUUAUUGUUAUAAAUUAUCAUGAUUAUUCCUGUCCGCACCGUCGGAUUAUAAUUAUUCUUGUUCCGUAUUUUGGCAGAUUGAUUGAAUAUUUGAUUAUUUAAUUAAUCUCUAAUCAAUUCAAUUAAUUUUUAAUUAAUUCUUGUUUCAUGUUAUUAAAUUUGUUUCUUGUUUUUGUGGUUAUAUAUUAAUAAUGUGCACAGACUUCUUCUUUCUUUUUUUAAAUUGAUUUUAAUUUUAAUUUUUUUAUUUUUUAGCUUGCAUAAAAACACCACAAGUAACAGGAAAUGAGGGCCCAACAUUAUCCUUCCCUAUCGUAUAGCCAGAUUUCGAAAACAAAACAAAGCGAAAAAAUUAAAAAUUAAAAAAGCCCAACUCCAUGGCAAUGGCUAUGGCUUCUUGCACCACAAAAUUCUCCGCUAAUUUCGCUAACUCCGGUCAAUUGAACAAGCCAGUUAUCAAAAACUCAGAUGGGGUUGUGAAAUUUUCAGGCUUUAAAAUCAAGAAAGUUUCAGUCAGCCUCUCCUUGUCUUCUUCGCAUUGUAUAUGUCAGUGCCAACCACUUGCUAGCCGGAGCCUCUUUUCUGCUGUUGCUUCUCCUCCAAGCGGUAAUAAUCCUCAGCCCGUUUCGAUUGUGGCCGCAAAAGGCUAUAAAAUGAAGACCCACAAGGUCAAUUCUUUCUCACCCUCUUUCUGCUUCUCUUGUAUGUGUGUGUGUGUGUGUGAGAGAGAGAGAGAGAGAGAGAGAGAGAGAGGGAGGAAGGGAGAGAUAGAGAGAGAGGGAGGCAGGGAGAGAUAGAGAGAGAUAUAGAGAGAGAGAGAGAGAGAGAGAGAGAGAGAGAGAGAGAGAUGAGGAAGGGAGAGAUNNNAGAGAGAGAGAGAGAGAGAGAGAGAGAGAGAGAGAGGUUGUGUAGGUUUAGGGAUAACAAUAUUGGAUUUUGGAAAAAAAAGAUUAUAACUUGACAUCAUUAUCAACACAAUUAUACAGAUGGGAUUGAGAAAUGACAUCACCCAGUAUACAGAUGGAAUCACUGAUAUCGAAUGUGAUAUGAAAGUGUUUGUUACUUUGUUUAUCAUAAUGUUUUUCGUUUGUGCUUGUAUAUUUGUUUCUAUUGAUUUUCAAAGUUUAUUACUCGCAGAUACAGAUUGACAUGUUAAGAAUUACAAGCGGAAGUGCUGUAUUUUAGAAUCUGGGUCUGUAUUGUUUUAUGAUUUUCUGUUAUUGUGUAUUUAGGCUUCUGCUAAACGAUUCCGGGUGACUGGAAGUGGGAAGAUUAUAAGGAGGAGAGCUGGGAAACAACAUUUGCUUGCAAAGAAGAAUAAUAAGAGGAAAUUGAGGCUUUCCAAAAUGGUACACUGUUUUAAUGGAUAGUUUUGCUAGAUUGUGUUAUAAAACCUUCAAUGGCUUUAGACUGUUUUGCUAUUGAUUGACUUAAAAAUUAAUUUAGUAUGGAAUAAAGCUAAGCAGAAAAAAGAAAGGUUCGAUUAUUCCUUAAUAUUGGCCACCUUCUUUGGUGGAAAAAUCAGCACCUUCUGAUUCCUGCCAUGAAUUCUAUAUUGAUAACUAGGUUUCCAUUGUCAUUUACCAUAACUGGUGUUUGAGAUAUUCAAACAAAAUUACAAGGUUCACUUUGGGACAAUUGUUUCUUAACCUGAGUGCGAUAUUAUUAUAUUCUUGUUAUUGAAUGGUGGAAGAGAAGUGUUGUUGGUGGUGUAAAGUUUUGUCUAGAGUUGGCUUAUAUAAUCAUCUGUCAUAAUACAUCAAUACUUUGUUGCCCAUAAACGUUACGAGUGCAGGCAUCCCUCUCCCUCGAUUUACACCAGAUUAGGGGUGGCAAUAUAACACAUGACCUGAAACAUGACUCAACUCGACCUGAUUCGCCACCAGAUUUUCUUUGACAAAACCUGAAGGUGACACCAAAAUGACUCAUAAUUUCAUCCCUUCGAACUUAAUCAUUCGAUUUUAGUGGUUUUAGCUUGGCCCAAAAUUGAGCCGUUUACAAACACGAGCUUGACCUGAAACCCAAAUCUGUCAUCCCUGCACCAGACAAAUAUUGUCAAUAUGUUUGUCUCAUUGUUUUGUUUUACAAUGCAUUUACUUAUCUUUGUUGUGCAUUGAUAUUUUAGAUCUGUCUAGCAUUUGGCCUUGGAUACUAGUAGUUUAUUUGUGGUUGUCAACUAGGUAUAACCUUGCAAAUCGCAAGUCCAACAUAUUUGACAAUUUGAAGCUCAUAAAUGUUAUUUCAGUUUCAUCUUCGUGAAGUUUAAAAGAAUUAUAUCAUGUCCCAAGGUUCUUGCCUUUAGACAGUUUAAUAACCGGCUUUUCUCACGAACGUUUUGUACUUUUCCAGUACAUAAGCGCAUUCCAUAAAUCAAGAAUUAUAAUGAGAAUUCUUAUCAAGUAUUCUUAAUAUAAAGAAUAAUCUAAGACUUAUAACAUAAUAAAUUUCCCGAGGACGAGUACCUUAAAGUCUAUUCUCCUUGUAAUUUCUUGCUUGCUACGGCUUUUCAGUCUAUUAUCUCCUAUCUUAUCAUUUGUGUUUUCCUGCACAGCUACAAGUUGACCGCAGUGACUACAACAAUGUGAUUGGUGCAUUGCCCUAUCUGAAGGUAAAUCGACUAAAGUAGACAAAUGUAUCAUGGAAGACCUAACCAAAUGUAAACUCGGCGGUUCUCAAUAUUUGUGCAAAGGGCAAACUGUCUCUUUUGUUGUAAAUGACCACCUGCUCAAACAACAAUCUUGCUAGUAAGCUUUUGUUCAUUACAUGUUUUAAGUGCUCAAGUGCUUACUGGAGCUCACAUUUCUGCAACUCAUCAUGAAUAGUGCCUUUUGUGCUCAAGAUAAAAAGGUCAUUAGUCAUUACACAUCACUACAUCAGACCUUCACAGGAAGUCCUGAUUUGACCUUACCUUUCCAGGUCAAGCUGCUAUUUUUUGAGUUGCCAUAUAAAUGUUUAGUGGAUUAAGUUUGAAAAAAUGUAUCUCUUCUUCGACAUUUGUGUAGCUUAGUGUAUCUGAUUUGCUGCUUUAUCAUCUUCAUGGCUUCUAUGGUCUUUUUUUUUGCCCGUUCAGCGAUUUUGUUCCACUGGACGACUAAAAUGCAUAUUUUAGUUGUUCAGGAGGAAAAAAAAAGGUCGAUGGCACGUUGAAUAUAUUAUCCAACGGUUAUAAAACAAUAAGUUAAAUAAACUCUUCCCACCGGUACCCAUGACUGUUUCUUUAGUGAUUUGACAGUAACCAAGUAUCCAUAUCAAAGAUGAAUCAGUCUCUGGUGGUUUAGUGGCAUCCAAAGGAAAUCCUAAUCAUGAAUAUUUUAAAUUCAGUGCAGCAGCCAGCAUGGUUUCGAAAUUAGAAUCGGAGGUCUAUUAUAAUUGAAGCAAAACAAUUUAGAAAAAAAGGAACCAAUAUUCAUUGUUUUGUUUUGUGCAGGGGUGAGUACGGUACGGGUAAAGCCGGGGUUCGUGAGAUUUCCAGAACCAUCCCAAUUUUCGGAUAUUCAAAAUGUUGAGAACCAAAAUUGUACCAUUAUUAUAUAUAUCUGUAUUGUAUUGUUCCAAAAAUUUGGAACAAGAUGGGACGGUUUCAGAUAUUCGGUACUCUUAAUAAAAUACAUUAAAAAAAGUAAAUAUCAAAAAAGUGAUAAAUCUAUACAAUAAAAUUCCAAGUUAUACUUGGUAAAUAAAGAAGCAAAAUAGAAAACUAAGUUCAAGCAAAACAAAUAAUAAAAAAAGUGAUAUGAUUGAUGAAUGAUAUUUAAUCAAUCUAUCUAAAAAGUCAAUAAAUAAUUAUAUCAUUGAUAUAUGGAUUUCAAUUGCAUGAUAUAUAUUAUAUCACAAAAGUGAUUAAAAUCACAAAUAUUGUGCUAUUACAUCAUAUUUGAGAAAUUUGAUAUUAGUUAUUAAACACAAAAAUAAAAAGAAAACAAUAUGUAUAUCAAACUAUGUCAUAAUAUAUAAUAUAUUAUUAUUAUCAUCAUAUUAUAUAUAUUAUAUAUAUUUUAUAUAUCAAUCAAAUUUUCAGUUAUUUGGUUCGGUACAGUUCAAUAUAGUUCGGUACAAUUCUCGGUACAGUUCUUAUAUAUAAACCAGAACCAUCCCAUAUUUUAAAAUUCGGUACAGUUCAAUACAGAUAUAGUCAAGAGUCAACGGGAUUUCAAUUUUUCAAAACUUUCAGUUCGGUUAUUUGGGACAGUACGAGAAUCUCCGGGACCCGUGCUCAGCCCUAGUUUUGUGGCAGAUAAGUUCUAAUAACUCUGAAUCCUAAUCAAAUUAAAUUAUUAGUUUUUAAUGUUAUUUUUGUGUAGCUAAUUUUUUAUUUUUUUUUGGUUUUUAGAACUUCAAAUAAGAUGCCUGGUUUGUUUUUACACUGAGCUCGCUAAAUAUGGACAACACAAAUCUAAUUUCUGGUGAAACUUCUAUUUAAACUUUUUGACAAAAAAAAAAACACUUCUACAAUUCAGUGUUGUAAAAGGCGGGAAUCGGACUUAAUCGGUGAAGUCACGGAACAAAGAUUAAUCGGGGAUUAAUUGAAUUGAUCGGAGAUUAAUCGAAUUGAUCGGUGAUUAAUCGGAGAAUUAAUCAGUUCGGUGAGCUAUGGAACAAAGAUUAAUCGGUGACUAAUCGUGAUUAAUCACCGACUUUUGGAACAGAGCUUCUACUAAAACUUACUCUCACCCAAAACAAAUAUAUAUUUCUAUUUGUAAGAACUGAGCAUUAUAAUUAUAUGUAUACGACACAAGCCCAACUCGAUGCAGAUCAAUACCAUAGGCGACUUCAUUUAAUUGCCAAGUCUGCCUAAAACAUCAGCUACAUUUGCCUGGAUUACGAGUAAACGUCCAAAUUCAUCAUUCAACAAUUUCAGAAGCCAUGGCUUCUAGAAAAAUGGAUAUACAACUCCUCACUGUUGAGAUCUUACAGAGUACUUUAAGAAAGAAUGACAGAGAAUUUACAUAUUUACGAAGGGGAAUUUAAACUGAACUCGAUCGUGUUAACUGUACAAAAUGAAGACCAGCUUAUAAAAAAUCCCUUGCAAGAACAAUUUGUAGCUUCAGCCUAAGAAAGAUUCCCACCAAGAACAAUUUGUAACUUCAGUUAACAACACAGGCAUGUACACUUGGUUUCUUCCAUCAUGUCAAAGUAUCAGACUUUCGCAAGAUCAGGAAGUGGGCUGCGAAUGAAUGGUGGUCUCUGGUAACAUCGCUGCAGUUACUAUGAAAUAUUCACAGCCACUUGGAAGAUUAUAUGGAUUAGCGGCCGACAUUGUUCCGGUGUCAGUUGUCAGGACCUGAACCCUGUUAUUAUGCUCAAACCGAACUGGACUAGCUUCCAGUCGUUCAAUAUGCACAAUCUGCCCGAUUAUAUAGCUAGGGCGUUGUGGAAGAUGAUCAGUGAACAAAGCAAUAGAUUCAGUGGACAGGUAGUAGUGAUGGCAGUUCCUUUCAAUAGCCUCGUAAUGCCCAGCAGGGUUGAGUAUGAAUGCAGCUACCUCAUGGACUUCCAGCCGGUCAAAGGAUAUCUUAUCCUCGUUUGCCUGUUGAAGCACGAGUAGUAUUAAUGUUCAAUUAAGGAAUCUAAGGGUAGAAGUGUAAUAACAAAUAUUAAGAGGAAAUAUACAUACAAUCUACCAAGGAGGACCAUUAUUAUCACACAAUUUGUGAAUAUAUAUAAACCUUUGGUCCCCAGCUUGUUAAGUAGCAAAUGUUCCUGAUUUGAAACAGCAUUAGAUGAUGAAGACACUUGCUUUCUCCCAAUAGGACCUUUCAUCUCUCCUUAAUUUUACGCUUCUCGUCUCUUUUCCCCCCAAUUUCCUAUACAUGUGCAUGCGUGCAUAUAUGCACCGUGCACUAGUGUAUGUGACUAUGUGUGCACACGAGUGUAUAAACAUGCCAUUUUGUGUGGAAACAUUGUUUCUGCUUGUUCACUAUUAUGCUUCCAAGACAACGCCCAUCAAAGCCUCAUCAUCAAAAGAUAAUUACUUCCGAAUGAAUAUGAAACUUAUCUUAAGAAAACCUUAUUUGGUCUUUUUCCCUUUUUCAAUACACAAUAAGAAUAAUUAUUGAUUACCACAAAAAAUACCUGUUCAUUCGAUUGAUGCUCCAUGUACAGGGUGUUGAUCAACUCUGUCUUCUUUUCCAACUCCUUGGUGAGCUGAUCAUUUGCAGCUUCAGCCUUCGAGUACCUAUCAAGUAGAUCUGCUCGGUGCUUCGACAAAUCACCAACUCUAUCAGCAAGCACGUGAAUGCAUUUCAGAAGCCCUGUAGAAUCACCAUGCUCCUCGUCACCAGCGGAGCUGAAAUUUAUGUCCAUCUCAAAUGAGGCAAAGAUACAGAGUAACAAGAAUUUAUGUCAGACUUAAAAGCUAAAGCACAGAUCACGGCAGAGUUAAUGAUAUAUUACUAAUUACUAAUAAUAGAAAUAGAACUAUUUUCAAAAAAAAAAAAAGAAAAGAAAUAGAACUUGAUAAGAUGGUAAAAUUUAUGAAAGAAAAGUUUGGGAAACCUACUUAGCCAAAGAUUGAGAUAAACCAAGCAAUGACUCCGCUAUAGCAGCAAUGCUUCCAGAAGACACACAUGUUUUGAGUCUUUCAAAAAGGCUGCACAUUUUGACAGCAGAGGCCCGCAGUGCACUAUUCUCAGAUGCCCUCCUCUUAGCUGCAAAGAGAUGGGUUUGGGCUUCCUCUCUUGCUUCAUGCAGACAAUUCUCCAAGUGUGCACAAUUCAUCUGUAAUACGAGGAAACUGUUUAUCAGUCCAAUAAACCAUACAAUAAUCUCUUUAUCCUGAUUUGAUACACAAAUGAGAUCCAUAGGACAGGAGGCAUUUUUGACAGCAUUUGACUAGAAUAUAAUGGAUAUGACUGAUAUGAGUAUGACGAUUCUGAGGAGGUAGAUCAGUAGCAAGGAUAACUCAUAUAGAAUUUUAUAACCCGGACUAGUCAAAAUUUAGUAGGAGAACUCAUUUAAAGUAACAUAAAAAAUAGUACAUAUCUUCAUUGAACCAAGUCAACAAUAACUAUUUCUGUUCUAAAAAGAUAAAAGCAGGAGACAAAACAAAAACUUUCAUUAUAACCUUCAAUACCUGAGAUGCAUCUAGAAUCUUCCUAUUAAUUUCCAGUUUCCUUUCGAGCUUCAAAAUAUCCUCCAUCAGGUUGGCAAGUUUGGCUUUAUUCUCAUCUAGUGUAAUGGGGUUCUCUGUAAGUGCAUGUUGCAACUCUAGCACAAGUUCACCACUUAUUUUAGAAUCUAAAUUUGGAUCACCAUUAACAGCAGAAAGUACGGUAUUACGAGGCUGGGACAUGCUAUUACCUGUUGAACUGGUUGCUAUUCCCAUUCCCAUGUCUGCCAACAUUGUUUCCUUGUAGUCAUUCUCGUGGGAAUGCAGAUAGCCGUGAUUAUGCUCCACCAUAGAUGAAUCUAGUUGAGGAUUUAAAAUUCCAGAUGAAUCUGUCAUAUUCUCAUCCAAACCUUCACAGGGAUUCGUAUGUUUAUCAAGAACUCCCGGUUUGACAUGUUCUGAACUGGAGGAAGAGAAAAGGUCAUCCAUAGCUACUGAUGCCAUGAGAGCUUCUCCUUCGCCUGAUACUUCUGGCUUAUUACCAGCCUUAUCAGUGGAAAGCACAAAGGUUGAUGCAUUUUUAUCAACUGCGAAUUUGUGCUCCUGCAAAACAUACUGAUCGGACAAUCUCUGCUCCAGGUCCUGUAUCCUUUUCUCAUAUAAUUAGCAUUGCACUUGCUUAUUCUUUAGCAUAGAGAUCAAGUGUUUUCCAUAUUCAUCUUUCAAAUGCAAGGCUUCAGCAGUCUUCUCUGCGGCAUCGUUUAGUAGGCUUUCUACUUUGCUGUCAUCAAGUGAUCCGUAUUCAAAGUCAGAGCAAUAUGAACAAAUUAGAGCUAUUGCAGAAGCAAGUUCAGCUUUUAGCUUUGCAUUCUCCACUUCCAUCUUGCUAGUUCCAACAAUCUCUACCAGCUCAGAAGCCUCAAGGAUCUCGUCAGAACUAUACCUAUCAGUAGCAUCCAAAGAACUCUCUUCGACUUCUGAUGCGAAAUUAUCAUGAGAUGAGGAAAAGGAACCCUUCAAACUUCCAUGCUUCUCACUCUUGGUAGACAAUCCGACCAAAUAUUUAGGGGCAUAGCGUUCUAUGUCUGAUAUGUCAAUAUCCAGUAAAUUAGUAUCAAAAGGAGCUAUAUUGACAUCACAUUGGUUAGGAGUAUCAUAUAAUCCCAUAGAUGCUAAUAUAUCCCUAGGUAUAAAGGAACUAUGUACUUUCAGAAACUCCUCUCUUUUACGGACUUCAUCUUCCCUCUUUGUUGCAAGCCAUUCAGCCAACUGUCCAGCCAUACCCAUGUAGAGCUUCAUCGAAGCCUUUCGUCUUACUAUCUCUGCGAGGCAAGCUCUGUAUGCAGGUCCAGUGCCAUGGAUCACCUUUAGAUGCUCAAAUUGUUCACUCUGGCGAUACAUUGCCUCGGAGAAAACAGAAAAUGUGUAACGCAUGUCUUUGAUGUUGAGCUGAAUCUCAGCUAUCUUUUGCAUGUAAUUCUGCACGAACAUAUUCAUGUCAUCCUUUUUGUUCCUGCAGUAAUCAAGCAGAUUGGAUAUUGAUCGCUCACAAUCCUGCAUCUUGGGGAGGUAACUCUUAUCAUGGCCAUCAUAUAUGGGACCUAGAGCUGAAACUGCAUCGUGAGGAAGGAGAGAAGAUGACAAUUGACUGCUUAGACAGUCAUCCACAAUUUUCUUCACCGUACUGACAUCUUUGCUGCAUUACCAUCCAUAGACUGUAAAUAAUAAUAUUUAAGUUACCAAAAUUAAGAUAUUACAUGGAAUAUAUUAAAAAAAGGCCUCCAUCCUAAUUGACACAAGACACUCUCGAUAUGUCCGCAACAUAUAGCAUGUCCUCUAUUAAGGAAUAUAUGGAUAAUGAUAUAAAGGUCAUACGGUUAUGCAGCCUUAAAUUUUUUAGCAUAGAAUAACCCCCAUAAUUACCACUGGAAUGACACAGAAUGACAGAAGUCAUAUGCAUUAUGCACACAAUUUCUUACUCUGGCUCUUCUAGGCCCUACAUAAACUACUAAGACUAGAAUUUAUGUCGCAAACUUUCUAAAAUUCAUGAAAAAUUAAGCAAUAUUCUUUUUUCUUUGUUUUUUUUUUUGGGGUUGGGGGGGGGGGGGGGGAGNNNNNNNNNNNNNNNNNNNNNNNNNNNNNNNNNNNNNNNNNNNNNNNNNNNNNNNNNNNNNNNNNNNNNNNNNNNNNNNNNNNNNNNNNNNNNNNNNNNNNNNNNNNNNNNNNNNNNNNNNNNNNNNNNNNNNNNNNNNNNNNNNNNNNNNNNNNNNNNNNNNNNNNNNNNNAAUAGGAGUUGUACACUGCCCCAUAAAAUUUGUGGACUAUGCGCUAAUAGACGUUAGACAGAUUUAGACACUGCUUUAUAACAGCCGUCGGUAUGUAUUACGAUGUUUCUUUACUACACAUUACAGAUCAAACUGCUUACCUUAUCAAUUAUAUACAGAUGACACUCGCAAAUAAUACAGCAUGGACAAAAGUGUCAGAACUCAAAAUAUAUAUUUAAAAAGCCUGUAACUAGACAUGCUGUGUUAAAGGACGAAGAAAGAGAAAAACAGAGAUUAGGAGAGAACCUUAAAGUCUGCAUUAUGCUUUUCUGCUCAGUGAUAAAUUUCUGGCGUUCCUUGAUUUUAAGUUCCAGGUCUGUAAGUAUUGAAGUGUUGCUAGAAAACAAGUGCUCAGUGCUGUGCUUAAGCUCUCUAAACUCCUGACUCAGUUCAGAUACCUUAUUCUCGAAUUGCCUGUGGGAGUUGCUACAAUCCUCCACUGUCUUUCUUAGGUUCUCUUCUUUCACAAAGUCUAGCAAGCACUUGCGAUUUCCCGUUUGUAAAGCAGGGAUAAGUUUGCAGGACCUCAGUUUCUCUACAUCCUUCCCGAAUUUUACCAGAAGACCAGAAUGGCUCCGAUGUUGCAUAGCAUAAUGCUUCGCAAAGUCAGUAUAGUUUUGCAAUAUCAUCCUGUAGAUAUGAUAGAGAUUACCACGAGCAAUCUCCAGUGCCUUCUCUUGUACUUUCUGUUCUCUCAAAAACCUAUCACAUGUCUCGUAUUUCAACAAAGUACGUUCAUAAAUUGCUUGCCCAAGCUGGUAAUGGUACCUGAACUGUCUCUCAUACGAAGCCAACGCCUUAAGAGCAGGGUCAGAAGCAUUAUCCAAUGGGUGCGGAUUGUGGGACGAGGUCGGCAAUGGCAGGUCUGGAGUUUUAAAAUUUUCAACUCGCUCCAGUGCAGGAGCUGGUGUGUUACUUCGCAUCCUACUCUUAUUAAACAUAUAAACUUCUCGGCCAUCAGAUGGAAGUCCAUACACCGAAAGCUGGCAUGGUGAAUCCAGCUUCACAUCCAUACACAACAGAAGCUGAUCAUUUAAGUGGACUCCAGAAACCGAUUCUAGGUACCGCUGGAUAUCCUCGACAAGAGUACAAUCAUCACAAUCAAGCUCAAAUGAAUGUCCAUUCUCAGCUACAUGAACCAGCAACUUUCCUCCGUGAACAACACCUUCCGAACCACUUGAGGAAGCCAUUUCUACAUACAACCUGAACUACUCUUAAAUGGACCACCAACUAACCGACACAUGCCACAAUCAUGCAUCAAAAUCCUCAACUAAAUCCUAAUCAUCUCCCCUCACACACACACACACACACACACAAAUCCAGAUUUCCAACAGAUUCUUGAACUAAGAACAGACAACCCCCACCAAACAACACUUGCAAAAUUUUCAACUAUAAAUCUAUAAUUUACAUCGAAAUCCUCGCAAUGCAUCAAAAUCAUCUUAAUUCGUAAACGAAAUCAAAAUCAAUUACGUCCAAAAAACCCUAACCAAACACAAAAUCACAAAUACAAGCAAAUUAGUCCACAAAACCCUCACAAUAUCACAAUCACACCACAAUUACAACAACAAACACUACAUAAACUCAAAAUCAAGCGGUUAAAUCACUAAACGCAACUAAAUCAAGCAAAACGCUCGCAAUGCAUCAAAAUCAUCUUAAUUCGUAAACGAAAUCGAUGACGUGUCAAUUGCAUAGAUGAAGAUAUAAAAGUAUCUGAUAACAACUUAAUCAAGAUACGCUUCGUGUUUUAAUAUCUUUUCACAAGAAUUGUGUAAACACAUUGCUAACAAACAGCGUGUUUGUUUAUAUAGAGGAGAAAGUGAGUCACCAGCGGCAGCACAACUUACUCUCUUCUGUU
rnacentral:lncRNA from 1 species